GCUCAAUGAGAACACAAUGAGAGUCAUCAUUCUCUCUGACACUGCUGUUCAAGACGACCGGACCUGUCCACCGCGCAUGCCCAUUACCGGUGUAUGAACAUUGCAUCCUUUAAUUUACCCUGUAUAUGAACAUUCCAUUCUUCAAAUGUGUUGUACUAUCAUUCUGGUGGCUAUGGAGAUGUGUUGUACUGUAGUUUUGGUAUCCAUUGAUGAUGUCUUGCUCCGAUUACACUUGAAUCUGUAGUUUUGGUAUCUAUUGAUGAUGUCUUGCUCCGAUUACACUUGAAUAUUUAUUUAUUUAUUAUUUUUUAUCCUGAUUGAAUACAUAUGAUAAGCCUGGCUUUCUACUAACUUCACCAUUAUAUGCAUGGGCACAUUGUUGAAACCGGCACCCUCGCGCCAAGGCGCGCUGCUUGCGCCAAGGCGCGCUACUGAUCUAGUAUAUAGGAUAUGCACGUGUGGAUGAGAGUUAAGGCUGAGUGACGAUUCCGCUCCCACCAACGGCUCUGUCCGCCUGCCUCCGAGGAAUUGAAUGAGGAAAUGGCACAUGAUCGCUGGCCUUUUAUACCUGUCGAUCUCCACUUGUUUUUCUCUGGCGUCGUAUACCUCCCUGUCUGGAGGGUUUGUCUGACAUUGAUAGUUUUGCUGGCUUAAUCAAACUCAAUUUUGCUGAGAGAAGUAGUUAACAUAUAAACAUUGUUUUUUUGAACUGGGAACUUAAUUCCCGGACCAGACAUAGACUUGUAGUCCCAUGUGUUUGGCAGUCUUAUUAUGAUAAACUUCUAUUCCCAUUCAGAAACAUUGUUUUCUGAACUGGGAGAAAGUCAAAAAUCUGCCAUUUAUUAUUAUGUGUCUGAAUGUAACCAACAAACGAGAGAGGAAGAACAUAUUAUUACCAAACGUGUCAAUUGAAUGAGGAUGUGUACUGUUUCAUGACUUAGUAUUUUGUAAAUGUUGAUUUUAUGAGAAAAACAUGAUCUAUUAUAUUUAGAGAGGAGAUUUGAGGGAAGAGCUCCAUAAAACUUUAGAACUCUCCAGUCUCCACAGCCAUAUCCUGUUCAACAUAUAUUAUGCAUCUAAGGUCAAUUAGUCUACUUGAUAACCACUUAUGUUGAAGUAGUACAAAUACCUACUGUACAUUUUUUAGCCUGAGGUCUUAUCAUGAAAUUUGUGCUGGGCUAAAGCAACGUCAGGCAAUGACGAUGCAACAAAAUGUCUAGUCAAAUGAUUGAAAGUAGCAGUGAUGUUCAAACAAUAUCAAUCCCCUUGUUCCAGCGAACGUAAAAUAUAAUUAAUCUGCAACUGAUACUAGCGACUGGACAGUGAAGUCGCUCAACCAUGCGACUCAAAAAAUUUGGGAAGAUAUUAUUCAAACUGAAACCUAAGUUCUACUACUUGUCUUUUGUGGAAUUAUGGGUUUUGAAAUUCUAAUCUUCAUUUUACAAUUCUUGGUCAAGUCUUUGAAGCUUUUCUGAAGGCGGAUUGCCUAAGUUUUUCUUUUGACAUAUAAUUAUCAACCUGACAAAGUUAUACAAAAAUUCCUGUAGGAUCAUUAGGAUAACAUCUAUCAUCACUUUGCUAAGUGAGCUACAAGCAUGCUUAGAUUUCUUGCUGCAGCUAAAUGAUCGUUCAGUUUUCUGAUAUUAUUUUAACAAUUUUACAAUAUCUCUGAAGAUUGAUUAAAUGAAUCUGCACUCUUGAAGACAAUGUUCGAAGAAUUUUAAGUUUUUAGCAGAAGAUCUGUCUGAUGGCCGUUGUGUACCUUUUACUAUUCCUAGUUAUCUUGUAUUUCAGUGAUCUUAGUAUUUUGCUGUUGAUAAAGGACAAACAAUUGACUCUUUCUCUACAAUGUCAGUUUCAACAGUAAAGACCCUUCGUAUCAAUUCGUUGAUUCUUGCUGGAAGAAGCCCUUUCUUUCUAAAGGUAAUUUUCAUAACUAUGUGAAAUUUAUUUAUUUGUGUAGUCAGUUCAUGUUCCUAACAAGCUUCAUGUUUCUUAGCUUUUCACAAAUGGCAUGAAAGAAUCUCAUGAGACACUUCCAAGAAUUAGGAUUGCUGAUUCAGGUAAUAUUAUACUCUAAAUAUAACAUUCUUCCUCUUAUAUUUUAUUCUAAUUGCUAUUGUGGUUGUGUUAGUACUUAUUCUUUUAAUAAAAACAUGAUUAUGUAUGGUAAAUGAAAUAUUAUGUUUUGUAGUUUCUGCCACUUUUUCGGCAAGUUAUGGAGACUUCGCAUGAACUUUCCUGACUGCAUGUUUGUACUAACUUAAAAUUACCUAAGACCUUUUCUUUAUUCAGGUUAAUAGUUAAUUGUACUGUAUUCAAUUUCGUUUGAUAAUUCAAACUCAUUGCAUGGACCGCGAACAAUUCUAGCGGUAGAGGUAACCAGCACUAUAUACUGUGCACUACCUGAAUAUCAGCAAUGUACAUAUCUGUUUCAAUCAUCGAUGUUGGCAAUUUGUGGAUUGAUUAACUCUCUCUUAAGCAGGGAUCAACUUUUACAACUCUCUUUGUAAUAUAAAAGUAUGAAGUUCUUUGCAAUGUCAAACUUAGUUGGAACUGAUUGUAUUGAAUGGUUGAGAUUGGCAACUCCUAUAUAUUCUAUGGUAUAAUUUCCCAUGAUCGUAAAAGGUCAAUCUCCCAUGGAGCUUUUUUAAUACUGCAAGUCAAGGGUCAACUUAAACAGNNNNNNNNNNNNNNNNNNNNNNNNNNNNNNNNNNNNNNNNNNNNNNNNNNNNNNNNNNNNNNNNNNNNNNNNNNNNNNNNNNNNNNNNNNNNNNNNNNNNNNNNNNNNNNNNNNNNNNNNNNNNNNNNNNNNNNNNNNNNNNNNNNNNNNNNNNNNNNNNNNNNNNNNNNNNNNNNNNNNNNNNNNNNNNNNNNNNNNNNNNNNNGUUCUCUUAAUCCUUAUGUUUUUCUUUUUUCAAGUUUUCAUCCUACUUGUAACAGAGGAGAAUGCCCUUGUGGAGCUUUUAAGAUUCAUGUACAGUUUAAAGUUGACAACAAUUGAACCCACUCUUCUGCUCGACAUGAGGUUCUUGCUUGCAUGAGGCACUGCAGUCAGUUGCUCACAAGCCUGCCUAUGACCACAGAAUCUGCAUUGCUAUGCCUAGACCAUCCAUGCUCCUCUUUAAUGGCUGCUGAAAUUCAGAGUGUAGUGCGUGUAGCCAAGGAAUUCCUUGCUGAGAAAUACAAGGAUUUUCAUAAGUAAGUGAUACCCAUUUGAUGGACGAACAAUGUUUUUUCUUCAUUUCCACAAAAAUGUAGACAUUUAUGUCAUCAUAUCGUGUAUGUAGUGUACUCAUGGCAUGGUUUGCCUCAUUUCAGGUUCGAAGCUGAAGUGAUGAACAUGUCUCUUGUUGGGAUCGAGGCCAUCUUUUCGAGUACUGACCUGGUGGUACUAUCUGAAGAUGAGGCAUAUGACUUCUUGCUCACGUGGGCCCGUCAAAGAUACCCAGAAUUGGAGGAAAGACGGAAGAUCUGGAGUUGUCGUUUACUUCCGCUGGUACGCUUCAGUCAUUUGACGGGUAUGGCACUUCAGAAUAUCCUAGCGGGCACUGAUGAUGAUAUAGACCAUGAGCAAGUAGCUCAACGUAUUGCUGAGGUACUUCUACACAAAGCUUACCCAACACAGCUGGAAGCUACUCUUGCAGCAGAGGUAGCAACCCAUCACCAAUUUGCUGAGCGAGCUUACGAGUUGAAGACUGUCAAAGUUGUUGCGUUCGAUCGACCCUGCCCACAGGUUACAGUUUACUUGGAUCUAAAGCGUGACGAGUGCUCCCAACUCUUCUCAUCAGCAAGUAUAGCCUCAGACUGGUUCGGUCUUGCAGGGCAGAAAUUCUGUCUCCUGCCAAACUGUAUAUUGGAUGAGCAGAGUAACUUCUACACCUUUGGCCUCUGGAUAGCGAUUAUUGGGGAGCCGACUGACUCUGUCAGUUUGACAGUAGAUAUUCAGAUUGCUGUAAGGACAAAGCCGUUAGGAAGAUUUGUGACCAAGUUAGACUACAGACACAUCUUCGCCGCUGGUGAUUGGACGACAGGAUGCAAUGAUCUUUUUGGUGUUCCAUGGUCAACGUUCAUUGCUGAUGAGGACACUCUCUUCAUCGAAGAUGUGCUACACCUGGAAGCUGAUUUGACUCUUGUGGAGCAUUCUGAAUUGCACAUCUGAUGAUAUCUCUGAUUUUCUAGGUGUAUGUGUGCUGGAAACCCUUUGGUUCCUGAAUCAUGGCGUUGUGGAUCUCUGCUUCAGGUGAGCUGCGUGCAGCUGUGGCCAGGAACUCUGAUCCCUCCCAGGGCAUGGCAUUGAACAGACUGGCUGAAUCGUGUGUUGUUGUUGAUCGGCUGUUAGUAACAUACAGUAUAUGUGUGUGUUUGUGUGCUUGACUUUGUAUGUUGUAUGUUGUUGUAUCAUACAGUUGAUGUGGAUAAACUUUGUCUGUGGUGGUCGUUGUCUUGUAGGGGAUUUGUUGGAUCCAUGCUGGCUGUUGUAAGUGUGACAAAUUUCAAUGGGAUCUCAAUUAUAAACUUAUACUUUCAGAUAUUGUUGUUGGUUUGUUGCGAUGUUCAAUUGGUUCUUAAUGCAUAUUGCGGUCUCGUUUUGUUAUUGUGGGCCUGUGUGGGAAUGUGCUUGUCCAGCUCGAAGCCUUUGAGCAUGACGAGCUUCUGGCCAUUCAUGGUGGAAGCGAGGUCGACGUUCAGCAUCCGUGGGCUCCAAAAACUUGAGCGUUGAACAUCUGGCUAAUUGUAGUGUUUUUCUUUUCAAAAUAUGUUAGUGUCCAUACCUUUUGGCUCUACCGACUCGACUUCUUUACACCCAUUCACUAAGAAGUUGAAGCACCAAGACUCAUCUAUACGUACAUCAAAUUUCGAUCCGAAAUUCUGGGAGAAUAUACUGCAGGACCAUAUCCCACAAUCGACUGGCUUAGCUUUUUUUUUUCUAGAUUUGUUCAGCACUUUUUAUGGAUGCUUCUGUGUACUAGUAACACAGUAAGACGUAGAACUCUUCUCCCAUUCUAUGAAGAGCUCAAGGAAACGAGCACAAUGCAACGUGCGCAACUCUAUCAUCCGAUAACGAAAUGAUGACCCAGACCAAAUGUUCUACGUACUUGGCUUGCUCAAUCAUGGGCGCAAGUAGGCUACCAAUGACGUGAUGUGCAUCUUGUGUGACCGCUGUCAAUGAUUAAGAUUGGCAACCACGUCAAGCCCAUCAGCUAGGGCACCACCCCGGUCUAGAUCGACAGAAAGUUAUGCCGGGUUGGUGCGUAUGACAAAUUCCUCUUGUUGCACAUAGGAGCACCACUUGUCUACCGCAUGUCUCAUGGCCAAACAUUCUUUUUCAUAUGUGGAGGGAGCCUCGCUGCGAGCAAAUAUAGUGCCUUGCUGAGAUACGCCAUUGGAUGCCCUUUUUUCAAGCUACCGUAGUGUUUAACGAAUCUGCGGUAAUAACCUGUCAAGUCGAAGAAGCCUCGCAAGUUCUUGAGUGUUGUCGGUUGAGCCCAACUGCAAUAGCUUGGAUCUUGUUCGCAUCUAUAGCACCAGUACAAUUGAUGCCAAUAAUGUGGCCCAUGGCGACCAGUGGGCGCGGUGCAGCAGCAGCGAGGCGUGGCGGCCGCGGCGAGCAGCAAUGGAUCUGGACGAAUUGGUCCCGCGGCAGGAGGUUGAUGAGCACCAGAUUUUUUUUUCCUUUUUUCUUUCAAUGACAGGUGGACCCCACAGGGCCGCACAUGAUGAUAACGUUAGCCAACGUCGCUGUUAAUUAGGCGGUGCCACGUCAGCCUGACUAGUGGGCCACGUCUGUCAUAAACAUGCUUAAUCGAGUCAAAUCCGCCGAUAAGUGUUUUUUUGCAACAAAAAAAAACGCAAGACGUGGUGUUUUCUGUCGAAAAAAUGUAUCCUAGUGCUUUUCGCAAACCUAGGCUUUAAAGUGGUGGUUUCGUGCAAUUUACUCGGCCCAUGUACUCUAGCUCUUGUUGGACGAAUGAGCACUUGUUCUUCUUCAGGAGUAACUAGUGCUACUCAAGAAGUUCAAACACCCCGUGCAAGGGCAUCAGGUGAGCUUCUUCCAUGUGGUUGUACUAAGAUAUCGUCGAUGAAUACGAGUACAUAGCGCCACAAUAUUGGCUUGAAGAUUUGGUUCAUGAUGCUUUCGAAGGGUCUAGCGCGUUGAUGAUGCCGGAUGACAUUCCAAGGAAUUCAUACAUGGUUUCAUGAGUUUGGAACACCGUCUUGUACUGGUCCUCGACUGCAACACAAAUCUGAUGGUCUGCCUUGGGCCCUUAGGGCAUCUUCAGCCGUUGGCCCUCCAGGAGGGGCAAAAAAUCGCCCCCUGGGGGCGCACCGGCGCUAAACCGCGCACCGGGGGCGUGAUGUCCCCCAGUCGCAGCGCCCACGGUUAGUCAAAAAAGUCAAAUACGGCGCAAAAACGACUUAAAUUUAACGCAAACAUCGGCGAGUUCGUUCAAACUUAAACAUAUUUUACAAAAAAAAAAACUACCGCGGACUACCCCCGCCGUCUCCCUCGCCGUCCGCCUCGCCGCCCGCCCACGUGGUUCUACAUGCCGAGGAGGCUGUAGAACCGCGUGUAGUCACCACCGUCGUCGUCAUCGUCGUCGUCGUCAUCGCCGCCCCCGCCUACGCCUCCGCCGUCCCUGCUGCAUCCCUCCCCCGGUUGGCGCGGCGGGUUGGACGGUCCGGGGGCGUCGUCGUCGUCGUCGUCGUCGCUGUCGAGGACCACGACGCCGUGCUCGUCCUCGCGCCCACGCUUGCAGGCGGCGAUCUCCUCCAGGGCCCGGCGCUGCCGGACCAUCUCGUCGCGGAGGUAGUCGUCCCGCGCCCACCGCAUGGCGUCCUCGUCGGAGAAGCCGCGCCGGGCUAUCUCCUCGUACUCCGCGGGGAAGCCGGGCUCCGGCUUGGGCUCGACGAGGACGAAGCGGUCGGUGGGUGGAGAGGCGUUGGCGCCGAAGCUGCGGGUGCACGCGCUGACCGGCGUGCCCUGGGGUUCCGGCUUGACGGGGCGGAGGCAGGGCGAGCCGCCGGACGAGGAGGAGGACCCCCCGGUCUCCAUGCGCCUCGGGGUCCAGGAGCUUCCCCGGCGGCGUGAGAAGGAAGGGGGAGCGGGUUACUCGAGGCGCGGCGUGUUGCCGCCCUCGAUGUACUCGAGGACGGCCUCCAACGUGCGCCCGGGCACGCCCCACCACCGACGCCGGCCGGCGGCGUUGAGCCUGCCGGAGGGCACGACGCCGUUGGUGGCCUCGAGCUGCUGGGCGUGACGGCGGCGGAAGUAAGGGUCCCAGAGUGGGCUGUCGGGGACGUACCGUGGCCCCUCCCUCGCCGCACGCGGCAGGUUCGAGCGGAUGCGUGCGAUCUCCGCACGCCGCGCCGCGCCGGUGGGUACCGGGGGCACCGGCACGCUGCCCGCGCUGAUCCUCCACGCCCCGGGCACCCGCAUGUCCGGCGGGACCGGGUACUCGGCCUCGUAAAGGAGGCGAGCCUCGUCUUCAUGAAGAUGGCGGCGGCCGAAGCCGUUCGCCGCCGCGCCGUCGCCUGGGAAGCGCUCGGCCAUGGGUGUGAACUGGAGACGGCGAAAGAAAGGAGAGGAGAGGGAGGAACGACGACGGCGGGAGAGUGUGAGUCGCCGAGUGCGCCGGGGCGCGUCAUAUAUAGGCCGAGGCACGCGUGCCACCGUGUGUACGCGUGGCGGGCGAGGGAGGGCGAGGGACGCGCGUCGUCCGGUCUUCACUGCGCCGCCCGUGAGGCAUCAAUGGUGCAGGCUGACCGGCGCGGCAGCGCGCGGCAGCUUUGGCAUUGAUUCGCCGCGGGAAACGAGGCAAUGAGGACGACGAAGGGCCGAGAAGAGAGCCGUGUCGCUGACGCGGUGGGCCCGCGGCUUUUUCGCGCCAAAACAGUUCGCCCGGCGCCCCCGGGCGCCCCCCAGCGCGCCGGGUUCGGGCUGGGUCCGCCGGCGCUGUUUUCGGCCCAAGCCGGCGGAAAUCGGGCUCCUGGGGGCACGUCUGGGCCGUUUUUUCGGCGCCGGCGCGAAAAAAACGCCUGGGGAGGCCUUCCUGGGGGCGCGGCUGGAGAUGCCCUUAGUUCACAACUUCAUAUAGGCACAUGUCCAGGGUUCCCCUAAAAAAAAGCAGAUAGGUCAGCCUUUGCUCAAAAAGAAAAAAAGAUAGAUCAGCCGUCAGCACUCCUCAAUCAACAAUAAAAAGCAGUAGUUGCAAUCGGGAACCUCUAUCUCCAGUAGUUGAAACAUGAGACCUUUUCGUCAUAUCACCAUGAGACUCCUGAUAGCUCAGAACAGUAGUUGCAAAAUGUUUGCAACAGAUGCUUAAUUAGACCCUAGAGAUUCAGUUACUGGGGGAAUUCAAAAAUAAGUAGCAACUGGUUUCAUUUUCUUAUAGAUUCCCUACAUUACGACAUCCCCAUGUUCAAUAAUUGGCCACAAGCCCAUAAAUUCAUGUUUGAUAUGGGGAAAAAAAUUGCAUCGGGCUAGGUAUACCUACUGGUUGAGCUUACUGCCCUUCCAAAGAAUUUCCCGCUUGCAUGAGCUCGAUACCGUGCCGCUGCUGCCUCCCACACAGGCCGCGCCGGCACCAAGCAGUGUUUUUCUCAUUCUGCAAUGUGCCAGGGCAUCCGACCGCUCUGGAGAGGAGAACUCUGUGUUUGUGAGACGGCAGCGGGUGGACUGGGCAUGGGCGAAGUUUUUUUUUUUUUUUUGAGGGGUAAAGCAAAGUUUAUUGAUAAAAAGUCACAUGAGUAGGCAUACAAAUUGGGUCAUGUGGAUGGCCAAGCCAAAGACUGGGCGUGGGCGAUGGCUAGGUUGCUGGUUGGGGGAUGGGGCGCAGCUGGACUGCAUGUAGGCCGUGUUCUACUUUACUUUUGUUGAGGGCUAGGCCGUGUUCCACUUAAAUGCAAGCUCAUGUAUAAAAACGAAUCAUUUUCUGUUCAAACCAGAUCGACGAAUCAUGUUUUGUGCCUAUCAUCCAAAACAAAUCGACUAAUGGGAGGGACGAAUAGAUAGGUAUUUCGGGCGCACGUCGGCUACCUGGGUCGGCCGACCAUAUACGGUGGCGCCGCCCCUGGUGUUAGGGUUUAGCAUAAGGUUUAAACAAUGUAAUAGAGAGAAUCCAUAAGUUAUGUGCCGUGGCCCGUGGGUCACUAGGAUGCUGUGUAUAUGUAAGAGUUACUCCCUCAGGACCGGUAUAUAGGGCGGGAGGAAACAUUCCCGGUAACCAAGCCGUGCACACCAUGGCAAUACACCUAUUUAAUGACACCCAAAAUCUCUUACUUGUUUAUUAAUGCGCUAAUAUGUGCGUGUGUGGAUGAGAGUUAAGGCUGCGCGACAAAUCUGUUCCCGGGAACGGCUUUCUGUGCCUGCUUCAGCGGACUUGGACGAGGACAUGACUUGGAGGAAUGACACAUGAUCACUGGCCUUCUACGAUUUUUUUUCUCUGGCCCAUAAGAGAGGGUCUCUGAUAUUGACAGCUGUGCAUGCUCAUUUAAUCGAACUCAAUUUUGUAGAGAAAAAGUAGUUAACCGAUGAGCAUUAGUUUUGACCCGGAGAUUGUACAUUAUCCACAUGCCAAAUCUGCCAAUUAUUAUGUUUCUGAAUGUAUCCCAGAAACUGAAGAACAUAUUAUUACUAUAUAUGUUAGUGCUUGACUAUGGAUUUGUAUUUGGAACGCUGGAAAAAUUAUUUCAUGAUUUCAUAAUUCUAUUUCAUAUGUUAGUAAUAUGAUCCUUUAUAUUUGGAGAGGAGAUGUGGAGGGAAGAACUACAUAAAACUUUAUAACUCUGCAGUCUCCACUGCCAUGUUGCCUCACUUGCCUGUUCAAGCAUGUAAUAUGUCAAUUAGGCUGCUUGACAACCUCUUAUGUUUAAGUAUUACAGAUUCACGUUGUAUAGAUUGUAAGUUUUCACCUGAGGUCUUAUCGUGGAAAUGUACGACACAAAUGACAAUGAAAUUUGGGGUCGACUAAAUCAACAUCAAACUUAUUCAGAGAAGACAACAAAUGUCUUCCAGUAUCCAUACAUAUGACAAUGAUGCAACAAAUAUCUAGUCCAACAUUUUGAUGUGGCAGUGCUGUUAACUUCUUUUUUUCAAUAUUUAUUGUUCCUGCAAACGUAAAAUAAGAUCAAUCCACUGCAAUUGAGACUAGCGACUGGACAGUGGAAGUGCUCAACGAUGCAAUUCAGAAAUUUUGGAAAGAAGUUACUCGACCUGAAACCUGAAGUUCUACUACUUCGUUGUCCUUACUGGAAUCGCAGGUUCUGAAAUUCUUGGUCAAGUUUCUGAAUCCUUUCAAAAGGCAUUGUAUAAGUUUGGGUAUUGAGUAUUGACAAAUAAUUAUCUGAUAAAGUUAUACGAAAUUCUUGUUGGGUCAUUGGGAUAACAUCUAUGAUCACUUUGCUCAGUGAACUACAGGCAUGCUUGCUGGCUGCAGUAAAUGGCCGUUCAAUCUUUGUGAUAAUUUAACCAUUUUAUCAUACAUCUGAAGACUGACUAAACGAAUCUGCACCAUUGAACAGAAUGUUCCAAGCAUUUUAACAGAAGAAAAUCUAUCUAAUGGUUGCUCUGUACAUUUUACUUUUCCUAGUUGUCUUGUUUCUCAUUGAUCUUGUUUUUUUGCAGCUGAUGAAGGACAGAGUAUUGACUCUUCCUCAACCAUGGCAGGCGAACCAAUUUCAGCAGUAAAGGCCCUUCAUAUAAAUUCGGUGAUUCUUGCCGCAAGAAGUCCUUUCUUUCAAAAGGUAAUUUUCAUAGCCAUGUGAAAUGUAUUUGUUAUGUAGUCAGUUCAAGUUUUUAAUAAGCUUCAGUUUCUUAGCUUUUCACAAAUGGCAUGAAAGAAUCUGAUGAGUCACAUCCAAGAAUUAGGAUUGCUGAUUCAGGUAAUAUUAUAGCUUAAUUGUAACCUUCUUCCUCUUACUUUUUAUUCUAAUUCUCUAUUGUGGUUGUGUUACCGUUUAUAUUCUGUAUAUAGAACAUUGAUUAUUUGUGGUAAAUAAAUAUUAUGUUUUGUAGUUUCUACCACUUAUAGGACUAGUUACGCAGACUUCACACACACGUUUCUAAGUGCAUGUUCGCACUUUAUUAAAAUUACUGAAGAACUUUCCUUAUUGAGGUUAACAAUUAAUUGUAUGUUAACUAAUUUCAUUUGAUAAUUCAAACUCGUAGUGCGGAUUACGAAGCGAUGGCGGUAGGUAACCAGUACUAUAGGGCUAUCAUAUAGAGUAUCCACCAGUGCGUGUCGUCUCUGUAGUCAGCGAUGCGGGCAAUUCAUGGAUUAAUUAACUCUCUCAAGUAUCUUUGUAAUCAAUAUGCAAUUAUGAGAUGCUUUGCAAGGUGAAACUUAAUUUAUGAGCCAUUGGAUCUGAUUGUCGAAUGGUUAAGAUCGUUUGGAUUCCGCCAACUCAUGCGUUUUCUAUUAUUGUAUAGAUAGAACUUUUCCAUGAUUGGAAAAGGUUAAUCCAAGGUGGAGCUUUUCUUACUUCUUUUUUGCACUGUUCUCUUAAUCCUUGUGCCUUUACUGUUUUCCUUCUACUUGGAACAGAAGAAAAUUCCCUUAUGGAGCUUCUAAGAUUCAUGUACAUUGGAAAGCUGACAACAAUUGAGCCCACUCUUCUGCUCGACAUCUUAAUGGCUGCUGACAAAUUUGAGGUUCCUGCUUGCAUGAGGUACUGCAGUCAGUUACUCAUAAGCCGGCCUAUGACCACAGAAUCUGCACUGCUAUACCUAGGCCAUCCAUGCUCCAUUUUAAUGGCUGCUGAAGUUCAGAGUUUAGUACGUGCAGGGAAGGGAUUCCUUGCCAAUAAAUACAAGGAUUUUGAUAAGUAAGUGACCACUAUUUGAUGGAGCAAUGAUUUUUUCUUUUCGUUUCGGAGAAAAUGUUGACAUUGAUGUCACUAAUUAUAUCGUUUAUAUGUCACUCAUAGCAUUAUUUAUCUCAUUUCAGGUUCCAAGAUGAACUGAUGAACAUCUCUCUUGUUGGAAUCGAAGCCAUCUUUUCGAGCAGUGACCUACACGUGCUAUGUGAAGAUGUGGUUUAUUACUUCUUGCUCAAGUGGGCCCGUGUGCGAUACUAUUAUUCGGAGGAGGAAAGACGCAAGGUCUUGAGUUACCGCUUACUUCCACUGGUACGAUUCAGUAAUAUGAGCUGUGAUGCACUGCAGAAGGUCCUAACAUGUGAAGAUGUUGAUAUAGACCAUCAGUACUUAACUAAGCAUAUUGCUGAGGUACUUACUUCUACACAAAGCAUACCCAAACCAGAUGGAAGGUGCUCUUGCAGCAAACGUGACAACAUGUCGGCAAUUUGCUGAGCGAGCUUAUGACUUCAAACUUGUGAGAGUGGUUGCGUUUAAUCAACCCUGCCCACAGGUUACAGUUUACAUCAUUACAUGGAUCUAAAGCGUGACGAGUGUUCCCGACUCUUCCCAUCAGGAGGUAUAUGCUCGCAAAUGUUCCAUCUCGCAGGGCACAAAUUCUAUCUCUUGGCAAACUGCAAAAUGGUUGAGCAGGCAACGUCGUACAGCUUUGCCCUAUCAUUACAUAUUUUUGAUGAGCCGGCAGGCUCAAUAUGUUUAGAUAUUGAGUUUGCUGCAAGGACAAAGCCGUUAGGAAAAUUUGUGAGCAAGUACGGAUAUAAGAACACCAUGACUGGUGAUUGUUCGCAGGGAUGCGGUGAUCUUUUUGGAAUGCCAUGGUCGACGUUCAUUGCUGAUGACAGCCUCUUCAUCGACGGUGUGCUGCAUCUGAGAGCCGACUUGACUCUGGUGGAGCAGCCUGAAUUACAGACCUGAUCUGAUAUCUCACGCAGCUGAGUUAACUGGGUCGUGUCUUGUGUGCAGUAUCAGACGCUUCAGUCGUGGAUUUCAGUUUCAUCCCUGAAGGGCUAUGAACAGAGUAGCUGAUGUACGUGGGCCGGCCGCUGCUACUGCAUGUUACUUAGUAAUAUAUGUGUGCGUUUAUGUGUUGCCUUUGUAUGUCGUUGUUGCAUGUUGUAUCAUACAGUUUAUGUGGAGAAUCUUUCUCUGUGUUGGUCGUUAUCUUGUAAGUGGUCUGUUGGAUCCAUGAUGCAGUUGUAAGUGUCACAAAGUUCAAUGGGAUUUCAGUUAUAAUUUUGGAUAUUGUUGCUUGGCUGGGCAUAUGGGCAGUGUUGGCUUUUGGGUGCAGGCUUGGUGCGGUCUUGUAUAGCUAUGUUUUUGCUUCUGCUGGAAUGUUUGGUGCCUGAAUGUGAAUGGUGUAAUUAGAUUGCACUUUUUCAGCUGGAAGCAUUGAAGCGCGAUGAGCUUCCUGGCCUAUCGUUGUGGAAGCGAGGUCGACGUCCAGUGCUAGAUGUCGCGCAAUAUAUAGCUGGCUCCAGAAAACUUGAGAGAGUUGAAAACUGGCUUCAUCUGGCUUAUUAUCCCAUAGUUCCUUAAUACAUAGUUGGUUUUCCAAAAAUCAAGUUUCUUAAGCUUUGACAACAUUUAUAGAGAAACCCAUUGUAAAAAAAUAGAAACAUUUUUCUAAACUAGAACACUACAUUUAUACCAUAUAAAAUUAUAUUUUGUAAUGAAUCUAAUGAUAAUGAUUUGGCAUUCUAGAAAUUGAUAAUUUUUCUAUGAAGUUAGUGAAAGUAUACAAAUUUUGACUAUAGAAAAUCUAAUGUUCACUAUACUUUGAUUCUUUGGAACGAAGUGAGUAGAGUUUCCUUACAACAGUGUCCAUAUAUACUACUCUACGUCCAUCCACUAAAAAUGAAUGAAACUGAAGAACCAAGACUCGUCUACUCCCUCCGUUCCUAAAUAAAAGUCUUUUUAGAUAUUUCAAUAAGGACUACAUACAAAUGCAUAUAGACAUAUUUUCAUAGUUUAAAAAACCAAACCGGUUAUCGAACCGGCAAGGCUGUCGGUUCUCGUUUAUCGGUCAGACCGCCAGUUCACCGGUUCGAUUGUCGGCUUUCUAAGCAAUGAAUAAUAUAUACUUUAUCAAUAAAUACAUCAAUCAAUAGAUUAAAAAAAUGUGUAAUCACAGAUAGAAUAACUUGUAACUACUACUCCCUCCGUAAGGAAAUAUAAGAGCGUUUGGAUCACUACUUUAGUUAUCUAAACGCUGUUAUAUUUCUUUACCGAAGGAGUACAUGUUAAUAUCUAAUUCAUGUACGUGAUAAAAAUGUGUAGUUGUUGUCGCGCGGAGCCGGAGCGGCAGGGAGAGGCAGGGUCGAUGCACCAGGGCGCCGAGAAAGGGCGUGGUUGCGGAGGGGUUGAAUUUGUCUCUGUGGACAAAAUCAAGAGAGAAAGCUCCCAAUCGUCUGAAACCCUAUCAAAGAGGGUUUUUUUUUCUUUAACAACUCUACCCUCAGCUUGUACGCACAAAAAUGAGUGGAUCGAGGUUUUUUUUUUGUGGAAUCAACAUCGUAUAUAAUUAUCUGUAGAUCCAAUUUCCAUCUGAAAUCAUGUGGGAUUAUAGAAACAUAUCCCUCAUCGUUGAGUUUAAUUCCUUACCUUUUUACCAUUUUUUAUGAAUGCUUCCAUCCAUUGGUAGCACACAUUAAGACCCAAAAAUGGUGGUAGAACUAGGACUCCUCUCCUCCCUCUACUGUGAGGAGCUUAAGGAAACGAGCACAUUGCAACAUACAUGAAGCUAUCGUCAUAUAGUGAAAGGACGAUCCAGACCAAAUGUUGUAUGUACUUGGUUUGCUUACUCAUGGUGCAUGUUGGCUACCGUUGACAUGAGAUGCGUCUUAUGUGACUGUCGUGUAUGAUGAAAAUUGGCAACCACACCAAACACAUAGAUGAGGAGCACCAUCACAAUUUAAAUAGGAAGCCGUGCCAACAUCACCAGAACAAAUAUACGACCUUGCUCGCAAAGACUCGAAAGUAAGGGUUCACCAUAAAGGUCAACAAGGAAAAUUCCCAAACUUGUUUGAACACCAAACCAAACGACAUCGAAACAGUGUCAUGGUCAUCAGUGACACUCACGCUGGGCCUUCGGGUCUACCCGAAAAUCGGGUCGGGGUAUUCGUCUUAUCAAAAAAUCGGGUUUCCAAAACUGAUACCCAAAAUUUGCUUGCACAAUUUGAUACCCGAAAAUUUGGGUUAGGGUUCGGGUAACCUUGAAUUGCCCAAAUUUGAGCAACUAAAGAAAGGCGUCUGGCAAAGCACUACUGCUCCUUCCUCACCCUCUUGUUAAACAUCCAUAACGUACAGGAGCUGCGUAGUACCAGGAGGCUGCGUGGUAUAUUGUUAGGAGGUUUAGAUAUUAGGUAGAAGAUAUCUUAUCUCAUGUAAACUCUAUCUCUAUCUCUACCUAACUUUCUCUCCAAGAUGUAAUCUCCUGUAAUCUCCUAUAAUGAACUUGUAUGCGCUAUCAGGGAUGUGCGCCCCUGCUCUAUAAACACGUACGGCGUCCCUCCAGAAGAGGUACGACGCUUUCGCCUCCGCACAUGGUAAUCAAAGCCAAUCUCUUCCACAUCGUCUAGAUCAAAUCCCCACCAGUGCUAUCAUGGCGUCCUCCUCCGGUGCUUCCCAGCUUGGUCUCAGCGGCCAGGUUACAGAGAAGCUAUCCCGCACCAAUUACAUCCUCUGGCGCACGCAAGUCACGCCGCAGCUCAGAGGCGCGGGCGUCUUCGGCUAUGUCGACGGCGCUACACCGGAGCCGGCCAGGAUCCUCUCCACCAAGGACAAGGAAGGGAAGGAAUCCACCGAGCCAAAUCCUCUCCAUCCCAUCUGGGUGCGCGAGGAUCAGCAGGUGCUUGGAUACCUGCUGAACAACCUCACCAAGGAGGUGCUUGUGCAGGUGACCGCGAUCACCACGUCGCACGAGCUCUGGACGGCACUGUCAGGCAUGUUCUCCUCGCAGUCUCUCAGCCGCGUCAACAACAUCAGAACCUCCCUGGUGAACGCCCAGAAGGGCAACAAGACCGUCACCACCUACUUCGCCGAGAUGCGUGGCCUCGCCGACGAACUCACCGCCGCCGGGAAGCCGCUCUAGGAUGAUGAGCUCGUGUCCUACAUCCUCCACGGCCUCGACAUGGACUAUCAACCCCUCGUCUCUGCCCUUGACGCGCGCAUCACUCUGGUAUCCCUUGAUGAACUCUUCUCCAUGUUAAGCAAUUUCGAUCAAAGGGUUGUGCAGUACCAGGGAUCGGGCGGUUUCAAGUCCUCUGCCAAUGUCGCGGCGCGUGGGCGCGGCGGCUACUCUCGUCACCGUGGUCCUCCUCGCUCCAAAGGCAAGCAAGGAGGUGGCAGCAGCAACGGUGGCGCUAAUUCUCGCAGCGGGCGCCCUGUCUCCACCAACAAUCGGGGCCGCCGCGGCGGGUCCAGCAGGUCUCGCCCUGAUUAUGUACGGUGCCAGAUUUGUGGCAAACCAGGCCACCCAGCAAAGGACUGCUGGUAUCGGUUCGAUGAAGAUGAAGCCUCGUCUGAAGAUGAUGAAAAGGUUGUUGCUGGUGCUGAUGGCUCAUACGGUGUAGAUACCAACUGGUAUCUCGACAGUGGUGCCACAAACCAUCUUACUGGAGAACUUGAGAAGGUGACUCUCAGGGAGAAAUACCAUGGCAAAGACCAGAUUCACACCGCUAGCGGUGCAGGUAUGAGGAUACGUCACAUUGGUCAUUCAGUUAUUACUACCCCGCAUCGUAAAAUUCAUCUUAGAAAAAUUUUGCAUGUCCCUAGUGCAGACAAAAAUCUUCUAUCCGUUCAUAGAAUUACUCUUGACAAUCAUGUCUAUAUUGAGUUUCAUCCUUUCUUCUUUUUGAUUAAGGAUCUGGCCACGAAGAAAACCCUCUAUCGAGGUAGAUGCGUUCGAGGUCUUUAUCCGUUGAUUCCGGAGCUUAGAAGACUCAAUAAACAAGCUUGUGGUGCUAUCAAGCUUUCGUCCACACGAUGGCACGAUCGUCUAGGACAUGCUUCAUUUUCCUUAGUUGAACGUUUGCUUAAAAAAAAUAAGCUCCCGUUUGUUGGUGAGCGCAAUGUUGAGACUAUUUGUAAUUCUUGCCAAAAAGCAAAAAGUCAUCAAUUACCUUAUCCUAUCUCCACCAGUGUUUCUACUCAACCAUUGCAACUAAUCCUUUCUGAUGUAUGGGGUCCAGCCCCUAGCUCUGUUGGUAGAAACACAUACUACGUAAGCUUUAUUGAUGAUUACAGCAAGUUUUCUUGGAUCUAUCUUCUUAAGAAAAGAUCCGACGUGUUUCAAGUUUUUCAAAACUUUCAAGCACUUGUUGAAAGAAAGUUUGAUAGGAAAAUUCUUGCUGUCCAAUCAGAUUGGGGAGGGGAAUACGAAAAAUUAAACUCCUUCCAAAACCUUGGCAUCUCUCAUCACGUGUCUUGUCCUCACGCUCACCAACAAAACGGCUCUGCUGAACGCAAGCAUAGGCACAUCGUUGAAGUUGGCCUUGCCUUGUUAGCUGGUGCCUCCAUGCCACUUAAGUUCUGGGAUGAGGCCUUUCUCACUGCCGUACACAUUAUAAACAUGCUUCCCAGUCGUGUCAUCAACAAUGACACUCCCAUCGAAAGACUUCUCCACACUAAACCAGACUAUUCUUCUCUGCGUGUCUUUGGUUGUGCAUGUUGGCCUAAUUUGCGUCCAUAUAAUAAACGCAAACUCAUGUUUCGCUCAACACAAUGUGUGUUUCUUGGGUAUAGUGCUCAGCAUAAGGGGGUAAAAUGCCUUGAUGUUUCCACAGGACGCGUCUACAUAUCUCGUGACGUCGUAUUCGAUGAGACAAAAUUUCCCUUUGCUGACCUCCAUCCCAACGCCGGUGCUAUGCUUCGCCAAGAAAUUCUUCUGUUGUCACCUCAUCUUGUUGGUCAUGAUCAAGGGGGAACUAAUAACUGUACUGGUCAUAUGUUGACUAACCCUCCUGACCAUAUGCAUGAGCCUUCUACUGCUACAGGAAACCACAGCGACGAAAACAGCUCGGAAAAUAAUGAAGAAAUCCGUUCAACAGCGCCAUAUCACAUGUGUCGUGGUGAAGGGGGCAUAUCCUCCUUGGGAUCCACUCUGGAGCAGAGCAGGCGAUCCACCACGGGAUCUGUGCAGCCGGACUCCUCAGACUCCGUCGCUGUCGCGCCAGGCGGGGCAGGCGCACCCGAAGGCGCCUCUCCAGCGGACACGCGGAAACCUGCGGGUGGCCCAGACAGCGCUGCAGCUGGCUCGGACUGCACGCGCUUUCCUCCCCAACCAGUGGUGUACAAGCGGCGCGGCGCGGUUCGCGCGACAGGCGCGUGCCACGGAGCGGACCCCAGCGGUCCCACGACGCCCGGUCGGCCAGGAUCUUCUGUGGCGCAUGCAUCCUCUGAGCAACAGCCGCAUGCCACAGAAGAUCCGCGCCGCGUCCAGCCAACGCUGGAAUCUGCUGCAACUGCUGGCGCGGGCGAAUCCGCCUCGGGAUCGGGCGCAGCUCUGUCUCCUGGUCAGCCCACAGGAUCUUCUGCGCCACAAACUGAGACAAGGCGUACAAGACUUCAAAAAGGGGUAAUUGCACCUGUUAGUUAUAAACACAUAACCAAGUAUGGCAUGGUUUGUUCUACAGGUGAACCAGGUGAGCCUCAUACACUUGAGGAGGCUCUUGAUGAUGAAAAGUGGAGGAAGGCAAUGCAUGAAGAAUAUGUGGCAUUACAGAAAAACAAAACAUGGCACUUGGUUCCUCCACAACAAGGUAAAAACCUUAUUGACUGCAAGUGGGUCUUCAGGAUCAAAAGAAAAUCUGAUGGAACAAUUGAUCGUUACAAGGCCAGACUAGUUGCAAAAGGUUUCAAACAGCGGUAUGGUAUAGACUAUGAGGACACUUUUAGUCCAGUCGUAAAAGCUGCUACCAUCCAUCUUGUUUUGUCUAUUGCUGUUUCCAGGGGAUGGAGUCUCCGACAGCUAGACGUACAGAACGCGUUUCUUCAUGGUGUUCUGGAAGAGGAGGUAUACAUGAAACAACCACCUGGAUUUGAAAACAAACAUGCACCCUCUUAUGUAUGCAGGCUUGAUAAAGCACUGUAUGGACUAAAGCAAGCUCCAAGGGCAUGGUAUUCCCGUCUUAGCAGAAAGAUGCAAACACUUGGCUUCAUUCCUUUAAAGUCUGACACCUCAUUGUUUAUUUACAAUAAGUUCAACACAUCCAUAUUUGUUCUCAUAUAUGUUGAUGAUAUUAUUGUCACAAGCUCUUCUGAUGAGGCAAUAGCAGGACUUUUGAAGGAUUUAAGUGCUGAAUUUGCUCUUAAGGAUCUUGGAGAUUUGCAUUAUUUUCUAGGGAUUGAGGUAAAAAGGCACAAGGAUGGACUUCAUCUCUCCCAAGAAAAGUAUGCAACCGAUUUGGUAAGAAAGGCUGGCUUGCAAGGCUGUAAACCCACAUCUACUCGUUUAUCUAGUACAGAGAAGUUGUCUCUCACAGAAGGAACACUAUUGAGCCCCGAGGACAGCACCAAAUACAGAAGUCUAGUAGGUGCACUCCAGUACCUGACUCUCACACGACCUGAUAUUUCUUUUGCUAUCAACAAAGUGUGUCAAUUCCUUCAUGCACCAACCUCAGUUCAUUUAACUGCUGCGAAACGCAUAGUUAGAUAUGUGAAGAAUACCUUGAGCAUUGGUCUUAACUUUGGCAGGUCAUCCUCCACCCUUGUUAGUGCUUUUUCUGAUUCAGACUAGGUAGGUUUUCUGGAUGACAGACGAUCAACUGGUGGCUUUGCAGUAUUCUUUGGACCCAAUCUUAUAUCAUGGUGUGCCAAAAAACAAGCCACGGUUUCCAGGUCCAGCACAGAGGCAGAGUACAAGGCACUGGCUAAUGCCACAGCAGAAAUUAUAUGGGUACAGUCUAUGCUCAAGGAACUUGGUGUGAAAAAUACUCAAGCUCCUUGUCUGUGGUGUGAUAAUUUGGGAGCCACCUAUCUCUCAGCAAAUCCAGUCUUCCAUGCAAGAACAAAGCAUAUUGAAAUAGACUUUCACUUUGUCAGAGAAAGAGUUGCUAACAAGCUCUUGGAGAUUCGGUUCAUACAUUCAAAGGAUCAAGUUGCAGACGGCUUUACAAAGGCCUUGCCUAUACGCAACUUUGAGGACUUCAAGCAUAAUCUCAACUUGAUGAAGUUGUGAUUAAGGGAGGAUGUUAAACAUCCAUAACGUACAGGAGCUGCGUAGUACCAGGAGGCUGCGUGGUAUAUUGUUAGGAGGUUUAGAUAUUAGGUAGAAGAUAUCUUAUCUCAUGUAAACUCUAUCUCUAUCUCUACCUAACUUUCUCUCCAAGAUGUAAUCUCUUGUAAUCUCCUGUAACGAACUUGUAUGCGCUAUCAGGGAUGUGCGUCCCUGCUCUAUAAACACGUACGACGUCCCUCCAGAAGAGGUACGACACUUUCGCCUCCGCACACCUCUCACUCCAUCUCUCCAGCGGCGGCCAACGGGUAGGACGGAUAGAGGCCGGUCGGCCGGCGGAUAGUAAGGAUCGAUGGUGGCCGGCCGACGGGAUAGAAGGUGGUGGCAACAGCCAGUAGGAACGAAGGGAGGCGGCCGGCCAUCACACGCAGUGGUGGUGGCAGCUACCAGAGGGAGGGGGGCGUUGUGCCGACGAGCGAGAAGUGGAGCCAAGCGUCGUGUCGGUUGCCUGGUUUCGUGGUGGUAUGAUGCGUGAGUUUGUGUUGUGUGACAACGGGGUGAGUGAGAGGAUGGCGAUGGAGAAUGGAAAACGAUUUUAAUCAGCCGUCUGUAGACAUCCGACGCGCCAGCCACUUUCACGGCUCGCCACAUGCCCACACACAUCUCACCCAUCCACCUCCUUCGUAUUCUCCACCCACCACCGCUUUCUCUCAGCCAUUUGUUCCUUCUUACCUUAUCCUCCUUCUCUUUUCUUCUCCAACACCAAAUUUGUUGUGCAAACGAAGGGGGAGGGGAUGCGAGGUCGCCGAAGUUUGCUACUAUGGGUGGGACGUGGAGUUUCUGCACCCGAGCUCAUUUGAGCUUGGGUGAACAGUAAAAUCGAAAAAAAUUCAAGAAAAUUCCAAAAAAAAAUUGGGAGAAAUAUUGACAAAAGUUUUAAGUGCUUGCAAGAAUUCGUCGUGAAAUCACAUUUCUAGAAGGCGUGGCAAAAAAAAUUUGGUACUCUGAAAAUGCUACUUUCAAAAGCAUUUUGGAGCUUGAAUUUAUUAUUUUUGCCACGCCUUACAGGAAUGUGAUUUCAUGAUGAAUUUUUGCAAGCACUUAGAACUUUUGUCAAUGUUUCUCCCAAAAAAAAUUUGGAAUUCUUUGAAUUUUUUUUGUUUUUUUUUCGAUUUUACUGUUCACCGAGCUCAAAUGAGCUCGGGAGCAUAAAGGCACUUUCGCUAUGGGUGUUGUUGUUGUGAGCCACUAUUGCGAGGUCGCCGGAGUCUCUAUGAUAGACGGUGUUGAUGCGAGCAGCUGCUACAAGGUCGCGGGAGUUGCUACUAGAGCCACGUGCAUUGGUCGACAACUUUUUGCUCGGAGCGGUGCUGCAUUGGUGUUGGGCGGACCAUGGUGCGGGCCAGAGGUGUUGCAAUGAGGACAACAAGAUGGGAAGAAAGAGGCCGGCAAAGAGAAGAUCAGACAGCCAGGUGCUGAGCAUCUAACGGUUAUCAACGCGGGUGUUAUUUGGCCAACAAUAACUUGAUGACGCCUAGCUAGGUCACGAGGGAAAGAGUACUAUGUUAGGGCGGGCCUUCUCUAGAGCAACAAAUUUUUCUAUUCUUUUUCCUAAUUUUGGGUUAUUAGGGUUGUUCCGGUACCGGGACUAUAAACCUGAAUUUUCCUAUAAAUUUCAGGUUUCUAGAUUUCUACCCGAAAAUAUUUCGGGUUUUUCGGGUUUGAGCUUCGGAUAUUGACCUCCGAGUACAGGGUUCUAUGCUAGGGUGAAGUGACACCAUGGCACUAUAAAACGUAAUAAAAACGUUUCAUUCAAGCUAGAAGAUGGACACUUGAAGUUCCCCACUCUCAGUCGUUUCACUGGCUGCCGACCGGAGGGGGGGAUGAACUCAUCGACGGAACCCUUGCUCUUGGAAUCCUAACUGUAGUUGUCACGAUAUUACAAGUUGUGAGUCUUUGUUCUUCUCUCUUUUUUUAUCCCCAACUUUUACUUUGUUCCCUCAUGGCAAAAGAAAAAUCUUCUUCUGGGAGUGUUUUCAUCCCUCCUCCCCGUGAAACCCUAGGGGAUUCAGUGGCAGCUGCGAUCUACCUCCUCCCCGGUGAGAUCACGGCCCCUCCCUCCAUUCGUCGAUCCGUCGAAGGAAGGGGGCAGUGACCCCUGCUGUUUCAGACCUGUGGUAGUAGGUUGAGGUUUUGAGUUUAGGUUUUGGUUCCCAAUCGUCGGUGGCAAGACGAUGGCACCGAUGUCAGCAUGGGAUAACUCCUCCUCGUUGUGUCCUCAUUCUGAUGGUACUUCUUGUCAUCGUUGGGAGGCAUGUGAAGGGUGGUGUGUCCCCAGAUCUGAUUCUCUAGGUUGUGAUUUUUCUUCUACAGGUUUGUCUCAGUGCGCAGUCAUGUGGAGCGGAUGGUACAGUUGUGCGUCUUGCUCCUUAGGCUCCAGUUUCGACAGAUGAAGGUUUGUCGGCUUCGGCUACGUCGAGGAGCAUGUGAGAGUUGUGUUCUCCAACUCCGCCCGACUGAACUUAGGGCGUUAUACAUGCCCUCUCUCGCAUUUUUCUCGAGACAACGAUUUUUUACAUGCGUCGCGGUUGUCAACAUCUUCUAACCCAUAUCGACAACUUGCGUUCGCAACCUUUCCAAACUCCUAGGUCUUAACAAGUUUGCUCGAAUGAGAUGGUGACCUAGAGGCGGCGACGAGUUUUGCUCAGAGUGCGCCACUGGUAGACACAAGAGGAAGAAGACUUGACACUCCAAAGGAUUUGGAUGUAUUAUUUCAUUUCUGUAAGGUGUUUUUGUAAGGGUUUAUGGUACUUUAUUUAUUGCUUUUUGUCUUCUCGCAAGAAAAAAAAACUUCUACCCGUCCAUGUUGCUCUCUUUUUUUGGUCAGUUUUUUUUUUUUUGCGAUACAGUAUAUUAUUGUGCCAAACUGUUUUUUAAGGGAUGGAUAGAUAAGAAAGUUCAUUAACGCCGCCGGAAGGAUCGAGGCGACCUCGCCAUCUCGAAGCUAGUGUUGCGGCCUUGGUCUUCCUCCUUUCCUACGCCUCCUCCAGGUCGUCUAGAUGGCCGCCGGCCAAGCGUCAGCGAUGGCUGCUGGUGUGGCGCCAUCGACAGCAGCGACGGAGUUGGACGACUUCUCCCGCGGAGGCGUGCUGCCCAGCUUCGAGUUCGCGUUCAAUUUGCCCAACUUCUCCGAUAGGGAGCUGCGGAUAGAGAUCGUCUCCGGCUACGAGCUCGGCAGAGGAUCCGCCGCCGACUGUGCACGACACCCCGAGAAAAAGAAAAAAGGUGUGUACAGUAUCCGAGCGUAAAUUUUUGGUUGGUUGCCGCGGAUCGGUGUUGGGCGUAUGAAUUUGUGGAGUAAGAUCUCGCGUUUCUUUUGGAUUUAUUAUGAUUCUUUUCAUGUAACGUAGUUAAUUUACCACGUAUGUGGAAAUCUAAAACCUUAUAUCUGACAGUGACAUUUGUGUGGAUCAUCAUCAGAUUUAUACACACAAAGAAACUGUAGCAGAUUCUAUAUCAUCCAAUGCUCAUACACCCGAUCCGAAUACAACAAAUAUUUGGUAUUUGAUUUGACGCUAUAUGGUGAUAAAAAAAAUCAAGCUCUUACCCCUGCAAAAUUUAUAUAAAAUCAAUCCUUUGGACCUGAGAACAAACACUGGACAGAAAAAGGGCACGGUGGUUUCUUUUGGCGGCGUGGCUCCGAUCCUCUUCUGUAGUCUUAGUGUGUUACCAAAAAGGGUUUCCCCCCGCUUUGUAUUCCAAAGCACCAACACCGAGUACAGAGAUCGCUGUGGCGAGCAGCACAACACACCAAAAGAAAAGGAAGAAGAAACAAAUGUCAGCUACGGCAGCUCGGCAAAGCACGGAUGACCCGCCACCGCGGUGCCCACCGGAAAAAAACCACCACAGACCGAGGUUCCUAACCGCCGCGUACCAAGCAGCACCUCCAAGAAGGAAUGCGACGCCGACGACGCUGCUACCCGGACGAGUCCUAGGGUUUCCCCCGGCACGCGGAGGGAGGUGGGGGGUGAAUACCACCGACACCCUCCAGGAAGGAAUGGUGGCACCCGCAGGUGUCACCGCGUCGGGGCCGAAGCCGGCAGGGAUUUCUCCCGCAUUCCCAGACCCAACCGCCCAACCGGAUGAAACCAACCCGCCAAACCGUCGCCCACCCCCAUGCGCCUACGCAGAAACGCCGCCUCACUACGAACACCACCACAAGGCCAAGAGGACCGGAGAGAAGCGCACCACAACGGGAGCAGCAACACCGACGCCGAGCGGGAGGGAACCACCUCCACCGCCGUCGUGCGGGAGGCCCAUGCCUCCGGCAUCGUCGCGGUAGCCGUCCGAACAUGGCCGCGGGGCAUGCCGGGCCACCCCCGGCCCAGCCAGGCCCGCAGCGGGCCCGUUAAGCCCCGCCGGCCACGAUGCAGCAAGUCGGCGUCGGCGCCGCCAGCACCCAGCCACUCGUCGCGACUCCCCCGCCUCCCAGAAGCCACGCCGGAGACGAUCACCGCCGCCGGCCCGUCCAAGCCCAGAUGGGGCCCGAAGGGCCCCGAUCUGGGCCGAGCGGACGACACCAGAUCGCGCCGCCGCACCGCCCCACCGCCAAUGGCGGCGCCGCCGCCCAGCUGUCCGCCNNNNNNNNNNNNNNNNNNNNNNNNNNNNNNNNNNNNNNNNNNNNNNNNNNNNNNNNNNNNNNNNNNNNNNNNNNNNNNNNNNNNNNNNNNNNNNNNNNNNNNNNNNNNNNNNNNNNNNNNNNNNNNNNNNNNNNNNNNNNNNNNNNNNNNNNNNNNNNNNNNNNNNNNNNNNNNNNNNNNNNNNNNNNNNNNNNNNNNNNNNNNNNNNNNNNNNNNNNNNNNNNNNNNNNNNNNNNNNNNNNNNNNNNNNNNNNNNNNNNNNNNNNNNNNNNNNNNNNNNNNNNNNNNNNNNNNNNNNNNNNNNNNNNNNNNNNNNNNNNNNNNNNNNNNNNNNNNNNNNNNNNNNNNNNNNNNNNNNNNNNNNNNNNNNNNNNNNNNNNNNNNNNNNNNNNNNNNNNNNNNNNNNNNCAGCUGUCCGCCUGCGUCGCGCCACGGAGCCCCGCCGCCACGCCGAGCACCCCCCGGAGCAUCUCCGCCCACGCCGGAGAGCGACCGAGAGGGGAAGGGCAGGGAGGCCGCCGCCACCAGCAGCCCAGGGGCCAGGCCGGCCGCGGGCGCCGACGACGGCGGCGGGAGGGAGGGAGGAAGGGGGUGGCUGGAGGGAGGAGGAGGGACGCGCGGCCGGUCGCCCGCGGGGGGGCGACACGGUCGCGAGAGGACUUCCCUAAGUGGGAUUUUGUGGAGCCCCUCUACCGCUGUAGUGUGUUAGGGGUGGCCUCUCCUAUUUUUCAUGUUUGGCGUUGGCUUAGUGGCACUUGUGCCACUUGCCCGGUGCCUUCUUUUUCGUUCGGACCUGCUUGUAUGAGGGUUUUCUCAUCACUAUGUAUCGGUGCGGCUUUUUGUGCCUUUAUCUAUAAAGAGGACAAAAGCUUGUUUCGAGGAAAAGGAGCACAACCACGUUACUUAAAAUUUUUGGAGCCUCCAUCUCCCACGAAGAGGGUAAAAUCCUGCCUCUCACACGCCAACUGCUCCGGUGGCGUACUUCGCCUUCGUUGUCCUAUGCCCUUCAGCACUGCAACACGGGAAAACGGUACGGCGCACAACAAGCCACUUGAUGAUAAUUGGAUCCGCUCGGUGGCGAGAUUGAACAGACCCGAGCAGUUGUGAGUGUUCUUUGCCUUGGACUCUAUAGUGCAUCUACGGCCGGACUUGACAAAUCCCCACUUCCUAUAUAUGUCCGCGGUCGCGCCUCUGCCGGACAGCCACACUUCUCAAAUUGAAACCCUUAAAUUCAUGCAAAUUCAUACAUGUCUAUAAUACACAUGAAUACAUAGUUUGAAGAUAAAAUUCAUUUUAAGAGCACAAUUUAUUGAUUUUCAUUGUGGGUCCAUAUAUGCUCCACAAGAUCCCAGGUGAGCUUGAAGUAGGGAUUGUGUGCCUCUACUCCCUUCACCACACGCAAGAACAAGAGGUUGUGCAUACAGAAGCAUCGACAAAACCAUUCAUCGGGGAAUGUUGGUACGUGAUCAAUGUAGUCCUUCUAGAGUAGCCGAGCUGCAUAGACUGUACCAAUUUUGAUCGAAUCCUUGAAGUUUAGAAUGUGCUCUACCUCCCGGUCCAUUUCCUGUUGGAUGCUCAUGAUCAUUAUCAUCUCAGUUUCUUUGUCCGAAUCCAAUGAACCGAAGAACUCCUUUUCAAUUAAUUCAUCAAGCUCCAUGGGUCUAUACUCCUCAUCCGGCGAACCAUCUGAAUCCAUUGUAUUGCCUACAAAACAAUCACAAAAAACUAGUCGAACACACAGAGGACAAGAUGCGGUCCGAGAUAAGACGAACGUGCUAGGGCAGCGUAUGGGCCGAUGAUAGUGUCCGUGGCGGCGAGACUAGAGGGGAGUAAUGUUGUGGCGGUGCUGAGGGCUCAGUACGGAGGCGGAGCAAGGGUGGCGGCUGAGCUAGGGGAGGGCCAGCACGGACGAGGGAGUAGAGAGGAGAGAAAAAUGGCUAGUCCAACAGAUCUAGGACAAGGGAUUUGGUGCAAUUUGCAGUUGCUCCUGCCUGUCGGGUCCGACGCGGCGUACGCACUCGGACACGGCUAAGCCUUCACAUAUCCACCCCGUGCCUGUCAGUCGGGAACCUUCUAAUCUACUCGUACUACCAUUUUAUUAUCAAACGUGCUCUUGAUGUAACAGAAGUAUUUGGAGUGGGAGGAAAAAAAAUGUUUCGGGACCUUCAUUUUAGGUCAACACAUUAGUCUGCAUUAUUUUUACCACCUCUUUUUUUUUGUUUUCGUUUUCGUUGAAAGAAAGGUUAUCACCAGUCUGUGCUUGGCAAAAACUUCAUAUAUACAUAAUUAAUGUUGGUACUGCCAAAAUAUUUUGUAUAUACAUGAUAAAUGCUAGUUGCAGGGCUAGUGCUUGCAGAAAAGCAAAGAUGACCACAAGUUUCUAGUUAACAUUUGAGUGCAGUUUUUUGUAGCUGGAGCUACACAGGACCUACUAUCCUAUCCAUUCAUUUUGAAAUACUCUACAUAGAGAUAUGCGCUAUGUGAGCAGACCUUAACAGUAAUUAACAAGACCGAACAGUACAUCUACAGUACAUCUCUGGCGCGCAUGGGACCGACCGCAUGCAUGGUCAGACUCUCUCAAACUCUCUUUCCUCACUCCUCUCUCUCUGGUCUUCCUCGAUUAUGAUGCACAUGCAUACUUUUACUCUUCCUCUCACACACAUAUUCUCUUUCUUACUUCUUUAAAGAAAUCCCUCACGGGCUCUCUCACACACUUCUUUAAAAAACAAGGUUUUUCUCUCACAAGCUCUCUCUUAAAUAUUCUCAGAUAGGCUCUCUCUAGUCUCUCUCUCCUCUCGAUUCUACCAUCUCUCACAGCGUUUCUCUCUUAAACCGGGGAUAUUACGUGCUCUCCACAUAUUUCUCCUCUCUCAUCUCUCUCAGUCCUAUUUUUCCUCUCUCCUCUUCAUUUAGGCCAUCUCUAACAAUUCGGUCUCCACAUAUUUCUCCUCUCUCAUCUCGCUCAGUCCUAUUUUUUCCUCUCUCCUCUUCAUUUAGGCCAUCUCUAACAAUUCUGUCUCGCGUGUCCGGAAGCAGCAUCCUGGAUGGAGCAUGUGCUGCAUGUCGAUCAUUAAAGGCUCACGAGAGGGAGAGUGGACAGUGGCAUGUACAGUGUUAUGUCAUGUCUACAGAAUGUGGUGCAUGUGAGUAUGUGACUGCAUGCAAGCCAUGGCAGACCCUGCAACUGCAGGACGUAAAGCUACUGCUAGUGACCGGCCUGUCCAUAGUAUGGGAUUACUUUACACCCAGCUGCACAGAUCACCAGGUAAAUUGAUGGUCUAGAUAGAGGGUGCCGUGGAGCUCGAGCUAUCUAGCAACUUUCUGUUUCAUGAAUUCUGUAUGAUACUAACAACAUAGGUUUUCUUUAAAAGGAGAAUAGCAUAACACUCUGUUGCAUUUUCUUGUUGGUGAGUGCAGGCAUCUAGGCGAGGAAUCCAGGCUAGAUGCUAGAGACCAUCAAGGACGCAACGACGCAUUGGAGGGGGGCGAGAAGGGUCAACAGUUUCACCAAGUCAUUCCUCGUACAUGAUCCGAAUAGACCAAAACUGAAGCUUCCUCAGAGGAUCAAUUAGUUCCAGGAAAAAUAUACACAUAAUCGUACCAGGGGCCCAAAUGGUGUACAUUAUACUCUUGGUAGGCAUGUGAUGAUGCUCUGAGAAGAGAGAAUUCAGUUUAGUUCAGAUAGAGAAUUAGUAUGUGUAAAAAAAUCAUCUUCUCUUGCUGGUGUUGUUGUCCCAGUUUAGUUGAGAAGAUAUAAGAAUUCAGAGAAAGCAUUUUGUUUGGUGAAUGUACUUCUGAGUCUACAAACUGUCGCAUAUGCACAAAUAUAUGUAAUCUAAAUGCAAUAUUUUCUUGUGACAUGAAUGAAAGCUUUUGAGAACUGAAAGCACUUUGUUGUUGCAACUAUCAUGGUUGCAAAUUAGCAGCAUUUUAUUUACAUUCAACAUCAUUAUUGCAAAUUGGCAAUAGCAGAAUUAAUAAACAAGACAGCACGCCAAUUAUUUGUAUAGUUCCAGCUUUACUUCGGAAGAACACAUUUUUCUAAACACAACAGUAAAUUCACAUAAGAACAAGCCAUGCCCACAUCAGAAAACAGUACAUGCGUCACAUAAUAGGGAACAAGUGCUAGUGGUACCAGUUUUACAUAAUAUAGCAUGAACCAGAGCAUGCACAGUAAACCAUGUACCACAAGUUCAUUUUUAUUUUGCUAUAGCUAGAUAACUAGCAGUUCAAUUAUUGCCAUAUAACAACCAUGGGAAUCCUGAUUGGUUUGGCAUUGCCUGAGAUAUCAACCCAGGUGCUUGUUGAUAAGAAGAUGUUGCAGAUGGAGGUUGAGAUGAUUGUGUCUGUGCUUUCCUUCUAUUCUUUGCUCUCUCAUAGAAAGGUGCAGUGGAAGGACUAUUUUGUGAAGUUGAAACCUUCUUCUUCCUAUCUGUUGGCUUAGAUGCUCUAGAACCUUGCUUUGUUGAUGGACCAGGAGCUGAACUUUGUUGUGUUGAUGGGACAUGAUCUUGCUGUGUUGAAAAACAGUAAGUGUGAGCACAUUUGCACAUGUCAGGAAAAAAAUGCAAGUAAAAGAAGAGAGAAAGGGGGCACCUCUGUACUUGCUUGCUUUGCCUUCCUCCUUGUAGCUCCUCUUGUGAAGUUGUCAUGCUCUUUGUUACCAGCAGUAUUGUUGUUAGUACAUUUUCUUUUGUUGCGCCCCUGGGUUCCACAACUUGAACAAGUGGCCUGCUCGUGACAUUUUUGAUGGAUCCCUAGGUUUCUCUCCUUCUUCCUGCCUUCUCUUUGUCUGGGGCCUCCCUUUCUGAGUUCUUUUCUUAGGUGGAAGAGGUCUAGGUUUUUCAGAAAUUGGCCAAUCUUCUUGUUCUGCUGGUUGUCCCUCUCCUUGUUCUGCCUGCUGAACGGAUAGGUAACCGAGUGGUUUCAUAUCUGUGAAAUAACAACAAAAUACAACAGAGCAUUUAGUAAAUUUUGAUUACUUAGAAUACAUGCAGGUAGGCAUCAACCUGAGUUAUCUCGACUGUUAAUUCCAUCAAGUGUGAAAGAAAACUGCUGAUUGUGGAGCAGCUAUUUCAAUGUGUACUGUAGCUCACCGGCCGGCUAGUUGUUUAAUUAUGAUCACACAAGUACCAUGAAAAGAAUACUAACAUGUCGGUCCAGAUUAAUCAUGGAGCAAAAAUCUUAAACUUGGAAAAUGGCAGUGGCCUGAACGGAGCCAAGUCUAUUCUCUGAAUUUAGAAAACUGCUUAAAAAUCUACAGAACCUAUAUUGUUCAAGUGCCCAGGAGAUAAUCACGGUAUACACAUUAACUAAACAAGCACUACUCCCGUGCAACUGUGGUGCGUUAGUACUAAUCACCGAACAGAUCUCUGACUAUCUAGGUGUGGGCGUGUGACAUCUGAAUUCAGGAAGGGUCGUUGCAGGUGUGCAAGUUUCAAUGCGUAGUCCACAAAGAGAAGGACGCGUGCGCUGGGCAUGGAAGAGCUGAGCGCCUAACCUGGAGUCGUCGCGCCGCUCCUGUCAAGCGGCGAUCAUCAUGUGUUGCCCCGCCGCCGUCUCGUCGAAAGGAAAUAAGGGAGACGACGUCCAAACAAACAGGAGGGGCAGUUAAGUAGGAGACCCACCCACCAAGCCGACGUGGCCAUCCUUUCGAGCCACGCAAGCAAACCACCAGCGGAUACCACUCUAAUCGGGAUUAGGGGGUACUUUGGCUGGUAUUAGAAAUCUCAGGGGAUUAGUUAACCGGUUUAGAAACUGAGGGGGUAGAUUACCCGGUUUCUGAAAUCCCAGGGGGUGAUGUGGACUUCUUUCUAAAACUUUAGAACUCUCGAGUCCCCACAAUCAUGUUCCCUCUUCAACAUAUAAGUAUGUGGGUCAAAGGUCCGAGCUUUGGGCGGCUCUGGUUGUCCGGCGGCGAUUUCGUCGGGAUUGCAUUGCCGGCUCUGUCCCCGUUCCCCUCAAGGGUGGUGCCCACUAGUUGUGGCGUGUUUGGCUCAAGGCUGGCGGUACGGCGCCUUCGAUCCGGCGGUAGGGGAUGGGGUUCCCCUUCCCAGCAUUAGCAACACGGCCCCGGCUGUGGGCUCCCGGUGCUCUUCUUCAAGGGCCGACGGGUCUUGCUCCUCGACGUUCUGCGGUCUUCCUUGCGGUCCUUGCUGCCUUUCUUCAGCAGCUGCUCCCGGUGGCUUUCCGGCAGUCUACUGGUGUCCUUGGUAGCGGCGGUUUAGUGGAUGCUGUGUGCUCAUCGUCCAUGGUGUUGUGUUCUGCGGUUGCUCCUGGCCCCGAGGUUGCCAUCGCUUCUGCUCUAGGGUGAGCGCUUCUCAGGUCCGCUGGUACGACGCCUUUCGAUCCAAGGCGAGAGGGAAGGGUCCCUCUGCGGCGCGAGAGGAGGAAGACGCCUGGUUUCUCUUCAUCCUGGUUCAUGCCCACACUCUGUUCUAGCAGGUCUUCAUCCUGCUGGCGGUCGCUACCUUUGUUAUCAGUUUUGCUGUUGUCUUCGGCUAGUACAAGCAAUGGGCUCGGUUGUAUUCCUUUCGUGCUUGUGUGCUGCGUUGAGUUGUAAGCUUCCUAGAGUGCUCCCUUGUAUCGUUGGGCCGUUGUGGUGUGGCGUUUGUUUGUAUUCCUGGCCGGUUGAUGGCUUUGUUAAUUCAAAGCCGGGCUCUUCGCGAGCCUUCGUUCUAAAAAAACAUAUAAGUAUGUAAGGCUAAUAUUAGUCUGCAUUUUUCGCCUCUGCUAGUCUGUUUUGUGGUAUUAAAACAUUUAAGGUCAUUAUUAGCCUGGUUUAUGUAGUAUACAACCUGUUGCAUAGAGAUAAAUUUGGUACUGGCACAAUAUGCAGUCACAUGGCUGAUCUUCUUAUUAGGGAUUAGUGAUUGCGGCAACGGUGAAACAAUAGAGUGCUAUUAUAAGUUUUGUAUCUGAGAUCUUAUCAUGGAAACGACCAAAUGAAAUUUCUGCUGGGCUAAAUUCAGUAUCAAAUUUAUUCAGAAUGAACAAGUAGCAUACCAUGUAUUCCUGUCCAUACAUCAGACUUUGACACAACAAAUAACAACCCCUUUGACACUUUAAAAGUAGAAUAAAGUCGAUCCAUUGUAACUGAGACUGGCCACUGGACAAUGGAGGCACGCAACCAUGCGAGUCAGAAUAUUUGGAAGCAUGUCAUCCAGUUGACACCUAAAGUUCUACCACUUGUUGUGCUUUGUGGAAUUGUAGGUUUUGAAAUUCUGAUCUUCAUUUUACAAUUCUUCGUCAAGUUUGUCGUGAAGCCUUUUUAAAAGCCAUUGCCUUAGCUCGGCUUUUGACAAAUACUUUUCUGAUGAAUUCUGAUAGGAUCCUUGAGAUAACAUCCAUGAUCACUUUGCUCACUGAGCUACAAGCAUGCUUAGAUUGCUGGCUGCAGCUAAAUGACCGUUCAGUUUUGGUGACCUUAUUUUAACCAUUUGCCAUGGAUCCAUAGAUUGAAUUUAAAUGAAUAUGUACCAUUGAACAGAGUGUUCUAAGUAUUUUAAGUUUUUAACAGAAGAUAAUAUGUCCAAUGGUUUUAAUUAUGUACCUUUUACUUUUCCUAGUUGUGUCAUAUACCAGUUAUCUUGGUAUUUUGCAGCUGAUAAUGGAGAGAGUAUUGACUAUUCCUCAGCCAUGGCAGGUACACAAAUUUUAACAGUGAAGGCCCUUCAUAUCAAUUCAGCGAUUCUUGCUGUAAGAAGUCCUUUCUUUCUAAAGGUAUUUCUUAUGACCAAGGGAAAUGGAUUUGUUGUAAAGACAUUUCAAGUUGCUAAUAAGCUGCAUGUUCCUUAGCUUUUCUCAAACGGCAUGAAAGAAUCUGAUCAGACACAUCCAAGAAUUAGGAUUGCCAAUUCAGGUAAUGUGAUAGCUUUACUGUAACAUUCCUCCUCAUAUUUUAUUCUAGUUUGCUAUUGUGGUUGUGUUACAAUUAAUUUAAAUAAAAGCAUGAUUAUUUGUUAUAUAUAUUGCAUGCACCAUGCACUAGCUUGUCUCUUUUAGUCAUCAGUGUGUGCUUGAUAUAGUAGUACUAGUAUAGAUAUAAAAUUUUCCGUGAUUGGAAAAAAGGGUUAAUCUCCCAUGGAGCUUUACUCAAUAAUUUAAGUUAAUAGUCAACUUAAACGAUUAUUUAGGAUACAAAGUGAUUAUCCUUCGUUUGUUAACUUCUUUAUUGAAUUGUUCUCUUAUGAUUUUUAUGUUUUCAUUCACUUGGCACAGAGGAAAAUGCCCUUAUGGAGCUUCUAAGCUAUAUGUACAGUGGAAAGUUGACAACGAAUGAUCCUACUCUUUUACUCGACAUCUUGAUGGCUGCAGACAAGUUUGAGGUUAUUUCUUGCAUGAGGCGUUGCAGUCAGCUGCUCACAAGCUUGCCUAUGACAACAGAAUCUGCACUGCUCUGCAUAGACCAUCCCUGCUCGACUUCAUUGGCUGCUGAGGUUCAACAUGUGAUUGGUGUUGCCAAGGAAUUCCUUGCCAACAAGUACAAGGAUUUUGAUAAGUUAGUGAUCCCUGUUUAAUGGACCCAUAUUUUAUUUCUUUUUCUGAGAACACUGUAGACAUUGAUGUCAUGAAAUCAUGUAUUUAGUGUACGCAUUGCAUGGUUUGUCUCAUUUCAGAUUCGAAGAUGAACUAAUGUGCAUUUCUCUUGCUGGGAUCGAAGCCAUCUUUUCAAAUACUGACAUACAAGUGGAAGUUGAAGAUUACAUAUAUGUCUUCAUGCUCGAGUGGGCCCGUGCACGAUAUGCAGAACCAGAGGAAAGACGCAAGAUCUUGAGUUCUCGUUUACUUCCGCUGGUUCGGUUCAGUCAUAUGACAUGCAUGACACUUGAGGAGAUCCUAGCAUGCACCGAUGAGGAUAUAGACCAUGAUUAACCAAGCGUAUUACUGAGGUACUUCUGCACAAAGCUUACCCAAGACAGCUGGAAGGUGCCCUUUCUACGCAAACCUGUUGUCAAUUUGCUGAGCGAGCUUACAAGUACAAACCUGUGAAACUGGUUGCUUUUGAUCGACCCCGCCCACAGGUUACAGUUUACCUGGAUCUAGCGCGCGAGGAGUGCUCUCGACUCUUCCCAUCUGGAACUAUUCGCUCGCACUACUUCUGGCUUGCAGGCUGGGUAUUUAUGUUAAUGCAUUCUGUAAAAUGGACGAGCAGAGUAUUUGCACUUUUGGCCUCUCCUUGAGAGCCUGUGAGAUUCCCAAGGGCUCAACAGAUAUGACAGUAGAUAUGGAGCUUGCUGCAAGGCAUGGAUCGUCAGGAAAAUUUGUAAGCGAGUUGGAAGAUAAGGUUACCUUCGAUUCGUUAGAUCAGUUAUAUGGAUGCAAUGAUCUUUUUGACAUGCCAUGGUCGAUGUUCAUUGCUGACGACAACCUCUUCAUCGAUGGAGUGCUGCAUCUGAGAGCUGAUUUGAGGGUGGCGGUGGGGCAGCCGGAAUUACAAUCUUGACAAUAUCUCACUCAGCAAAUUUAGGUAGAUCGGCUCAAUGUAAUUUCAGUUGGUGUGGCAUGUUGGCAGCAUGGUUCAAUGCUAUUUUUGUGUCUGAAACUUUAGGUGGCAUGUUGGCAGUGUGGUUCAGUCGUGGCCGCAUUUCAUUAUUUUGGUGGAAAACUAGGCUUGCCUGAAUGAUGUAAGGAGGCUCUAACUUGCAGUGAGAAGGUGGAAAACUCUGGCGAUUUGUCGGCACAUUUGAUCCGACUUUUUCUCUAAUCUGUUCAAAAUGUGAGGGUCCAUCUUUUUUGUUUUAGAUUCACCAUAAUUUUCUUCUCGACAGGCGUGAUGUUUCAGCUUGUUUUUUAUUGUUCUGGAUUAGAUUCGCCAUCACCAGCUCGGUUUGACGACGAAUCUGAUUGUCCAUGGAAGCCUAGCGUGAGAUGCAGCAAUAGUAUUGGCCAGUGAAGCUUCCUGGGAUUGUGCACUGAUACGUUUCUGUAUGUCCUGAUGAAUGAAGUUGUGCUUGUUUCAAACUGACAGGCAACUAUCUGGAAGUUGUGCCUGAUGAAUGAUGGCCGGGCAGGGGACACUCUCCUUGCUGGAGCCGGUCUGGCUCUUGUCUUCGCUCAUGGCGUCGUAGUACCUAGUCUAGCCAAACCUUGAAGCAGUGCCUGUUGUGUUCCCUCGCUAUGAUGCUCUGAAGAAACUGUUGACUUAAAAAACAAGAACAUCCCAACCCUAUUUAUUUUGCAAAGUCUUAGUUCAGAAAGAAAAAUGGAAGGAACACAUCAUCGAUAUUGUAGCUUCAACCAAGACAUAACAGGAUUGCAUUGUGCAAGUUUAUCCUCGUAGUUCAAGUUUGAACAUUCAACUCAAGUCCAAAUCAACUUUGCUGAGUAAGAUGGAUCGUAGUUUAUAGGUUUUCUAAAAAAGACACCUACUACUUUGUUAGGUGUAGCUCUAGAUAUUUGGGUUUUCUAUUCAUGAUUAGUAUUUUAUGGUGGUACCAUGUCACGUAGUACAAUGGGGACUGUCUAUAGGUAAAACUGCCUCCACAAAACUGCUUAGCAACAGUCUGACAAGUGGGUUUAUCGUAGACCUCUUUCUGAUGUUUUUUUUUUGUGUAAUUCCAAAUGUGUGUCAGUACUUUUUUGAACAUGUUCUUAAGUUUAUUCGAGACUUGAAGCACGACUCAGAUUUGUUAUGAAGAAGUGUGGUAUUUCGAAUUGUUUAGUUGUGGGAAAAUAAAAAUGUGGUCUUAAGGCGAUUUAGUUCGUAUUCCAGUCACUUUUUAUGUCCUUAAUUCAUACCUACCCGACUAAGAUUGCAUAUCCAGAAACAAUCACCGUGGGAGGAGCCCAGCCUCCUCAGAAUUUAGCGAUUCCUGGCCACCAGAUCUGUUUCUUGAUGCGUUUUCGACCGUUCGACCGUGAGAUGGAGAGAUAUCGGCCAUUGGAUCGAGGCAUGCUACUAUAGAUCAAAGCAGUGCACCCUCCAGUAGAAAUAUCGCAUGCCACCGCCUACGAAUUUGGUGCCCCCACGAGGGCAAUAUUAGGCUUUCGCGUCUGUCUUGUUGCCUCCGGUCCUCACUCCAUCCUUUCUCUUCCUCCUCUUUACACAUCAACCCCAACACCAGGGCCCACCUACACGGAUGGUGCUGCACUCCGCUUCUUGGAGCUGAUUGUGAUUGAAAGCCUCACCAUCAGUGUGUGGUGGGCCCCACCCACACACCCGGGAGACCUUGACUUGGACCAUGUACUUGAUUGUCUCUAGACUGCGAUCAACCACAUGCGUUGUCGAAGGAGACUUCCAGAUCCUCCAACCUUCGUCAUAAGCCAUAUUUUAGACCAACAUUUGCACACAAAGAAGCAAUCUUCCAGCAAACAUAGAUGUAGUCCUAUGGGCGGCACACACAAUCCGACCUUUUUGGCAUAGUCCAUCCCCGGCUUCACAAUGGCGAGGAAGCAUGCACAAUUAUGGCGGGGCAAAGCUAGACGACAAAAUUCCAAGGCAAGGUCAUCGCCACCUCCUGAAACACUAGUUUUGUCAAAAUGACCUCCCAAUUGAUGAGGAGAUCUUCGUUGGCCCCUCGACUCUAUGGUAGAUGGCCUCCCCAAGAAGGGGAAGUAGAUACUACAGGCCUACUGUAUAUAUAAUUCUACACAAUGCCACCUCUUGAAUGCCUUACUUGAGGAAUUUUGUUCUCUCUCCUACCAAACAGAUUGAAGAGAGGGGACCCACAUGCUCACAUCCGUUCGAUGGUGGAAGUUGUUGGCCUAUGCUUGCGAGAAAGAAGUCAUAGGUGGGGCCGAAGAUUCUAAACCUACCAGGACGAAGUGGGACCCUGCUGUAUUGGUAGCACCACAAGCCAUAAAACACGAUAUGCUUGUAUAGAAAAUAGAUAAUAAGUUGAACUAAAAAAACAAGUUAUCAAUUUGCUUGGCACUUUUUGUCUUUGAUUGAAGAGGAAAAAAAAGUUGCUCGUACUGUAUAUAGCAGCACUGUUACAAUCAGGCUUUGAAUCAAAUUGAGAGAGACUUCCAAAAGUUAAACUACUCUAAUUAGAUACCGCCGACCUCGUCUUCUCGAAGAAAGAAGCUUCGGCAGCUAGGUUACGACCGGCCACCGUCCCGUGCUCCUCUCCCAUACGUACGUGGCAGAGGGCAUGGACGCUGAGGAAGAGUCAGCGAUGGCGGCGGUGGCGGCAGCAGAGCUGGGGCUGGACUUCUCGCGCGGCGGCGUGGUGCCCAGUUUCGAGUUUGCGUUCAAUUCGGCACACUUCUCCGACAGGGAGCUGCGGUUAGAGAUCGUCGCCGGCGCUUCGGAUUCCGGCGGAGGAUCCAUUGCCGACGUCGAGCACCACCACGAGGAGAAAGGUGCGUACAGUGCCUGAUGUAGCUGCUAUUUUCUACUACCUGUUGUCCUUUGUAAGUUUCAGACACUUAAUCUUCUUGUCAAAAUUCGUGGUCAAGUUUGUCACAAAGCCUUUGGAAAAAGGCACUGCUUAGUUACUCCCUCUGUCCGGAAAUACUUGUCAUCAAAAUGGAUAAAAAGGAAUGUAUCUGUAUGUAGAUACAUUUCUUUUUGUCCAUUUUGAUGACAAGUAUUUUCGGACGGAGGGAGUACAUUUUUGACAAUUGUUUAUUUGUGGAAGAAUUUAGAUAUGCCGAAUUAAGCUUGUUUUGACUUUUGAGUUUUGAGAGAGUUCGCAUUGAGGCAUGUGUCAGAUGAUAUAUAUAGGAAGACCAUAUUAUUAUGUUGUUCACCCAUAGAGUUUUACUUCUCCCAGUUCGUUCUUUAUUAAUUUCUUCUAUCUUUGGUAUUUUGCAGGUGAUAAAGGACAGAGCAUUGACUCUUCCUUGAUGAUGGUGGAUCAACCAGUUUUACAAGAAAAAACCUUUUAUAUCAAUUCAGCAAUUCUUGCUUCAAGAAGUUCUUUCUUUCUGAAGGUAAUUCUGAUGACCUCGUGUACUACAUUUGUUGAUUUCUUCUCGUGAUGUGAAGUUUAUAAUAAGUUCCACGCUUCUUAUAGCUUUUCUCAAAUGGCAUGAAAGAAUCUGCUCAGACGCAUUCGACAAUUAGGAUCGCUGAUUCAGGUAAUGCGAUAGCUAAACUGCAACAUUCUUUCUCUUAUAGUUUAUUCUAAUUUGUUACUGUGGGUGGCUGUGUUACUAUUUUCUAUUUAAAAUCAGAAUAGCAUGAAUAUUUAUAGUGAACUAAAGAUUAUGUUUCAUAGUUUCUGCCAAUUUUGUUUUUUCAGUGAUAAAAUGAAUAUUUAGGGUAAAUGAAAGUUUAUGUUUCAUGGUUUUUGCCACCUUUGCAUUUUCAGUGAUAAAGAGAAGGUUAGUCUGCCACGGAUCUUUUCUCAAUAUUGAAAGACAACAUUCAACUUAAAUAAUCAUUUAGGAUACACAAGUCAUUGUUUUCUUUUAUUUCUCUAUUAUUCGGUCUUUAUGCAUUUUUGUUUUCAUUCUACUUGGAACAGAGGAAAAUGCCCUUAUGGAGCUUUUAAGGUAUAUGUACGGCAGGAAGUUGACUGCAACUGAGCCCACUCUCCUGCUCGACAUCUUGAUGGUUGCGGAUAAGUUUGGGGUUCUUUAAUGCAUGAGGCAUUGUAGUCGUUUGCUCACAAGCUUGCCUAUGUCGACCACAGAAUCUGCACUGCUCUACAUAGACCAUCCUUGCUCGGCUUCAUUGGCCUCUGAGGUCCAGCGUGUGAUACGUGUAGCCAAGGAAUUUCUUGCCAACAAAUACAUCGAUUUUGAAAAGUUAGUGAUCCCCAUCUGACGGAGCCAUGUUUUAUUUCCUUUUCUGAGAAAACGGAGGUCUGGAUUAAGUGGCACUCAUGGCAUGGCUUGUCUCUUUUCAGGUUCGUGCUUGAAAUGAUGGAUUUCCCUCUUGUUGGGAUUGAAGCCAUAUUUUCAAGUAUGGGCCUACAAGUACUAACUGAAGGUAAAAUAUAUACCUUUAUGCUCACGUGGGCCCGUGCACGAUACCCAGCAUUGGAUGAAAGACGCGAGAUCUUGACUUGUCGUUUACUUCCGCUGGUACACUUCAAUCAUAUGACACGUGCGGCACUUCAGGAUAUCCUAGCACGCACCGAUGAUGAUAUAGACCAUGAGCAAGUAACUGAGUCGUAUUACUGAGGUACUUCUACGCAAAGCCCACCCAACACAGAUGGAAGGUGCUCUAAAAUCCUGUGGGCAAUUCGCUGAGCGGGGUUACCAUUUCAAACCUGUGGAAUUGGCUGUUCUUCAUCCAUGCAGACCGGAGUUUGCGGUUUAUUUGGAUCUAACGUUCGAGGAGUGCUCCCGACUCUUCCCUUCUGGAGAUAUAUUCUCGCAUCCAUUCCAACUCGAAGGUUGGGAGUUAUAUCUCAUGGCAACAUGUACAAUUGAUGAGCAGAGUAAGUUGUACAGCUUUGGCCUCUGGUUAGUAGUCACCAGGAAUCUGAAGGGCUCAAAAUAUCUGAGAGUACGUUAUAGGAUUGAUGCAAGGACUAGAUCGUCAGGAAAAUUUGAGAGAGCUUUCAACGAUCAGAAUACCUUCACCGGUGAUGGGAUAACGGGAUGCUCUGAUCUUUUUGACAUUCCAUGGUCAACAUUCCUUGCCGACGAUAACCUCUUCAUCGAUGGUGUGUUGCAUCUGAAAGUUUAUUUUCUAUAGCUGUACAACUAGAUUAGUUGACGGGAUUCACAUUGUAAUCUUAUUAAUUCACAACUAGAAUUUUCUUUUCUGUAUAUGUCUGUGUUCGGACUUGCAAUUGAACUUUAUCACAAAAUUAAUAUGUACUCACCCCAACUCUAAAAAUAAGGCGUAGUUUGACUGUCUAAAUUUUGACUACUCAUUCUCUUUGCACGCUGAAAGGUUAGAAUUAGUAAUAACAUGAUAGAUUUUUUCAUCAAGAUAAGCAUAUUUUAAUGUAUGAGGGAGUUUCUUUAAUUCAAAUACAUAAUCACCCUUAGGUGGAGGAGGAUCUCCCAAAAUUUUAACAUGCAAAUUAUGCUUAAGAAUAGGUUCUUGCCAAAAGAAUAUUUCAUCUAUUUCAAUUCUUUCAUCCAUAUGCACAUCAUUUUCAUGAUCUAACAAAUAUUGCUCUAAAAGAUUGGUAUGAGGCACAACAAUAGAAGCAAGACCAACAAUUACAUCCUCAUUGGGAAAAUCUUUAUCAUGGUGUUGUUUGGAGAACUUAGAAAAAAAUAAAGUCAUCAGAUUCUUCACCAAACUUAACUAUGUGCGUAGUUCAAGUUUUCAUCCAAUUCACCAAGGAAUAUUUUGGUUGCUUUUGUCGGAUUGCUUACUACUAGGUUGGAUCCGAUGUCAACCUAUGGAGGCACCAUUUGUUACUAUUGGAUAAAUUCCUUCUGUCUUUUUCUUCUUGUUCUUUGCCAUAACGCCCAUUUAGGGACGAGUUGGAACAUGAAUUCCAAAAUGUUACACUGAUGGGACUUAUCGCACCGGAUCUUUGAAGGACAAGACUCAUCACACCUGAUUAGUGAUCAAUUCUACCAUAAUGAAUAUAUGAGUUAUUUUACACAAUGAAUUUACAAGAAGAUUAACUUUUUUAGCAUAGUCAACUUCAGCAUUAACGGUAUUCAAAAAUGGUCUACCAAAUAUAACGGGACAAAAAUUAUCUUGUUCAGAUCCAAGUUUUAGGAAAUCGGUAGGGUAUUUGAUCUUACCACAUAAGACUUUAACAUCUCUUAUGAUCCCAAGAGGUGAAAUGAUAUCCCUAUUUCCAAGCUUAAUAGUAACAUCAAUCUCUUCUUUCUCAACAUGUGAUAUAUCAUGCAUAACUUCUUGAUAGAGAUAGAAAGGAAUAACACUUAUACUAGCAACAAUAUCACAUAAACCAUGAUAACAAUCACUACAAUAAAUAUGUCAACUAGUGACCUUCUGUCAGUAACCCUGGAAGAAUUGGUCAUAGAUCUAUGACCAUUUGAGACCAAUUGGUCAAAAGCUGUUCGGGGGGCUCCAAACCCUAAACCAUUGCGACCAUUUUGGUCAGAAAGGUCGUAAUUUCCUUAUACGAAAUGGUCACAGAGCAAAUAGUGCAGGUCCGCUGCCUUAUUUCUAGUUGUUAACGACCAAUAUAGAUGGUCAUAGCCUUGUAGAUUGUGGUGGGUUGUGAUGACUAGGCGCCACCUCAUCAGUUUUGCCUAUGUGUCAUGUCCAUGUGGCAGUUUUUGCCCUAGGUUGUGAAGCAACCUAUAUUUCUGUCAUUCCCAAAAUUCCCAAAAAAAUCUCAUAAAUUCUUUGGGUCAUAUCUUCGUCAAAUAUGUAAAAAUCUUCCUUGACUAGUUCAAAAAUCAUUAAAAAAUAUUCAUUUUCCUAUUCUGUUCAAAACAACAGUUGUGAAGGAAGUACCACUUUGGCAUGUCCAAAUAGUAUCCAUUUUCUACAGUGCUUUCCUAUGCCCAAAUAACCAUCCUCCACCAAAUGCCAACUCAAUCCAUUCAUUAUUUUGAGCCGAGCUUCAACAUUCGUAUUUAUGUCCAGUGUGGUAGUUUGCAAAGCAAGUACCACCUAGGCUCCUCCUUUUGAGGUGAAAAUUUGUGAAGACGGUCUUCUUAGUAACUGAUCAUCCUCAGCCAAAACUCACGCCCAUUAGCCAUGUACAUUUCCCGUACCGCUAAUCAAAUACUUGGCUGCUAAUUCAUGUUUGAGCAUCGAUCGAUCUCCUCGUGAGAAUCUUAUGUUCUGAUUUUCUUCCUAGCACCUACCUGGUGAGUGCCCAACCCACUAGACAUGCCUAGGCCGCCCAGAACACAUGGCAACGCCACGGUCACGCGGUGACCACGCGGCGGGCAUGCGAGCUUACGCGCUCUAGAGUUGGGGCCCUCGGCCACCGUCCAAACCUCGAUGUCUCGCCAUCAAACCAUGUAUUUUUGAUUAAAUAGAUACUUAUUUACCUAGAAAUUAUUUUUGGAAAAAAUAAAGAGCAAACUAUGAGGCAGCUGCAGUUCAAAUUUGACCCGCUUCCAUCUGAAUCGACGGCAAUUUGUCUUUUUCACCAGAGGUGGAUCAAAACUUUUUUCACCCAACAAUUUUGUCAAUUGUGCAUUAUAUAUGGCCUAGUAUUUUAUAAAAUUGAUUUGGUCCGUUUUUGCAACAAUUAUUUGGUAGUUCCUUCACAAAAAAACCUCCUUUUGGGCACUCGGAAAAUGAAAAAUGAAUUUUCCGUGCAGAGAAAAUGAAAACUUCCUUAGGCAACAUUGUUUGGAAUUCCAAGAUGGACCCUUAUGCACAAUAUGAGAUCAUUUGAACAAACUAUGCCAUGAAUGUGGCCAUAAGAUUGAUCAUUUGGCUUGAAAGCCAUGAAUCCUCACGCAUGAUAGCUCAUUUCUAAGAACACUUUUUUAAAAUAAUUAUCGUAUUACAAGUUUAUUAUUUUUCCUAGAAACUUGGUCACAUAUAAUGACACAAUGCGAAGGUUUUCCAAUUUUUUGUUUUUUUUAUGCCCGUUUCAAAAUGCGGUCAAAACGGCGGGCUUGACCGUUCCUAGCUAGUGGUUGAAUCUUGGAAUUUUUUUGGUGUUUCUAUGAUUAAAUAGAUACUUAUUUACCUAGAAAUGAUUUUUGGAAAAAAUAAAGAGCAAACUAUGAGGCAGCUGCAGUUCAAAUUUGACCCGCUUCCAACUGAAUCGAUGGCAAUUUGUCUUUUUCACCAGAGGUGGAUCAAAACUUUUUUCACCCAACCAUUUUUUCAGUUGUGCAUUAUAUAUGUCCUAGUAUUUUAUAAAAUUGAUUUGGUCCAUUUUUGCUACAAUUAUUUGGUAGUUCCUUCACAAAAAAACCUCCUUUUGGGCACUCGGAAAAUGAAAAAUGAAAUUUCCGUGCAAAGAAAAUGAAAACUUCCUUAGGCAACAUUUUUUGGAAUUCCAAGAUGUACCCUUGUGCACAAUAUGAGAUCAUUUGAACAAACUAUGUCAUGAAUGUGGCCAUAAGAUUGAUCAUUUGGCUUGAAAGCCAUGAAUCUUCACGCAUGAUAGCUCAUUUCUGAGAACACUUUUUUAAAAUAAUUACCGUAUUACAAGUUUAUUAUUUUUCCUGGAAACUUGGUCACAUAUAAUGACACAAUGCGAAGGUUUCCCAAUUUUUUGAUUUUUUUUGAAUUUUUUAUGCCCGUUUCAAAAUGCGGUCAAAACGUCGGGCUUGACCGUUCCUAGCUAGUGGUUGAAUCUUGGAAUUUUUUUUGGUGUUUCUCUGAUUAAAUAGAUACUUAUGUACCUAGAAAUGAUUUUUGGAAAAAAAAUAGCAAACUACGAGGCAGCUGUAGUUCAAAUUUGACCCGCGUCCAACUGAAUCGAUGGGAAUUUAUCUUUUUCACCAGAGGUGGAUAAAUUUUUUUGACACCCAACCAUUUUGUCAAUUGUGCAUUAAAUAUGCCCUAGUAUUUUAUAAAAUUUAUUAGGUCCAAUUUUGCAACAAAUAUAUGGUAGGUCCUUCACAAAAAAAACUCAUUUCGGGCACUCGGAAAAUGGAAAAUGAAUUUUCCGUGCAAAGAAAAUGAAAACUCCCUUAGGAAACAUUGUUUGGAAUUCCAAGAUGCACCCUUAUGCACAAUAUUAGAUCAUUUGAACAAACUAUGCCAUGAAUGUGGUCAUAAGAUUGAUCACUUGGCUUGAAAGCCAUGAAUCUUCACACUUGAUAGCUCAUUUCUAAGAACAUUUUUUUAAAAUAAUCAUCGUAUUACUAGUUUAUUAUUUUUUCUGGAAACUUGGUCACAUAUAAUGACACAAUGCGAAGGUUUUCCAAUUUUUUGAUUUUUUUUGAAUUUUUUAUGCCCGUUUCAAAAUGUGGUCAAAACAGCGGGCUUGACCGUUCCUAUCUAGUGGUUGAAUCUUGGAAUUUUUUUGUAUUUCUCUAAUUAAAUAGAUACUUAUUUACCUAGAAAUGAUUUUUGGAAAAAAUAAAGAGCAAACUACGAGGUAGCUGCAGUUCAAAUUUGACCCGCUUCCAACUAAAUCGACGGGAAUUUGUCUUUUUCACCAGAGGUGGGUCAAAAAUUUUGACACCCAACCAUUUUGUCAAUUGUGCAUUAAAUAUGCCCUAGUAUUUUAUAAAAUUGAUUAGGUCCAAUUUUGCAACAAAUAUAUGGUAGGUCCUUCACAAAAAAACUCAUUUCGGGCACUCGGAAAAUGGAAAAUGAAAUUUCGAUAGUUAGGCAUUGAAUCUUACAAACAUUUCAGAGUAUCUCUAAUGAAAUAUAUACUUUAGUAUCUAUAAAUUAUUUUUAGAAAAAUUAAAUAGGUACUUUAGUACCUAUUAAUGUGAAAAAAGUAGAAGAAAACAAAAAUGUAAACACAAUUUGUUUUACUUUAUUCUCAUUGGUGGAACUAGGUCUCACCCGGAUCGAUGAUGUGGCGGCCAUCCAUCCAUCCAUCCAACCCCUUGCCCUAAAAAAAUCUACCCAUCCCCUGCCCUCGUCUCCCACCCACCCACCACCCCGACCCCUUCCCUCCCCUCGCAUCGCGCCGCCACCCAUCUAGCCAUCCUGCCCUCCUGCAUCACGCUGCCAUCCACAUCCAUCCCCUGGCCACUCUCCCCCGUACCGAGCACUUGACGGCAUCGGCCCGGCCCCCAACACUACAAGAAAUAUGUCAACUUGUGACCACCACUAUUGGUCACUGAAAGGUCACUGUUUUCAAUUUGUGACCUUUUUGUGACCAAAAACAUAAGGUCAAAAGCUGAGGGUCGUUAACUGACUAUAGCGACCUUUUUUGUGAGAAGGUCGUGGACGUUUACGACCAAAAUAUUCCUACUAUGGCGUUUUGGUCACUAGCAACCUCCCCAGGCCACGUAGGCAUCCAGCGUGGCAAGCUGAUGUGGCACAAGAUUCAACCCGGUCCAAUUCGGUGUUUAUAUGGGCCAAGCCCAUUAAUUCAGCCCAUUUAUAUUUUUUUUCUAUGAAUUUUUUGUCAGCUUCAUGGACCAAGCCCAACAUUGCAGCCUUUUUAUUUUUGGCCCAUGGCCUACAUUGCAGCCUUUUUAUUUUUGGCCCAUGGCCUUUUUGUCUCAACAGUUUCAUUUUUUCUUUUUUGUUAGGGUCACAUUCUUCAUUUCCCAAUUUAACGUAAAUAAAUACACAGUAUUUAAAUUGGCACAGAAAACACACAAAAUACUUCAAAUAUUACCAGCCAGUGUUGCUGCUGUACAAAUAUUACCAGUCAAUACAGAGUUGCUGUUGUACAAAUAUUACCAGUCAAUACAGUGUUGCUACCUAAUAUUCCCAUGUUGGGUAGUAUUAAAAAACGCUGGUAGGCUUUGGGCCUUGGCCCAUCACCCGCUCCAGACACCCUCCAGACCGCUCGCCUCGCACAUCCCACUUUGCUCGCUCGCCUCUCCAGGUCGCCCUCAACAGCAGCUCCAGAUCGCCCUCGGCAGUAGCUGCAGGUCACUCCAGAUUGCCCUCAACAGCAAGCCAGCAACUCGCCUGCCGGAUGAAGAGCCUCUUCUCUGAGCAAGGCCAGCUGCUCCUCCACGCCUCCGAUUUAUCCUAUGCCUCUGAGCUCGCACCUUCAGAACUCGCGGCAACGACUCUGCUUCCCUCUCCUUGUCCGCGCCAGUGAUGGAUGCCUUAUUUUCUUCCUCCUCCGCCUUCGGAUCAAGUGUUGCGCCAUCUUCUUCCUCCUCUUGCCUCCGGAUCUUCAAUUGCAGCUCCAUCUUCCUCCUCAGCCUCCGGAUCAGCAGUAGGUACUCCUGCACAAGAUAUACAUCCAGUUUGUAAAGAGAGCAUCUUGCAAAAAAAAGGUUUGUAAAGAGAGCUUGAUCAAUUAAAACUGUAGCGUAAACUGGAGUAAGAAUUCAAAUUGAAUAAAAUAGGCUUGUGCCAUGUGGGAAUAGAAAACAUGGAAGAAUUGCAUUGAGAAUGUCAGGACGAGAGAGGAGUACCCAAACUAGCAUUACUCAAACAUAUACUCCACAAUCAACUUGAGAGUUCACCAAAUGCCAGGUUGGACCACAUUAGCAAAGCAUGCUCCACAAUCAACUUUAGACAAUAAACAAUAGGAGUUAGAAGCAGAAUAAAAACAAACAUACAAAGCAGCUAGGGACUGAAUCAUGAAGCAUAUGUAAAUGUAACAGUAACAACCACAAGGACAACGCAACACAAGAGAAGAAAGCACAGUUGUAGCAUUAAUACCAACAUGGACAGAAUGGUUCUAGAUGUUGAACGCAAAAAAUGAUUCAUUCUCAGAUGGUUCAUUAAGCAUGCCAAAAUGACUUAAGAUAAGAGGACAAAUCUAUUGCUAGAUGCUACUCAGAAUAAGAAAUAAAAAUUAGAUUAAUGCAAUGAGACUAAGGAUAGGAUAAAUGGUUUAUCAAAACUUAUUUUCAACAUAAUCAUCCUCAUAUAGUUAAGUAUCACAAAGAGACAUCUAUAAAGCAAUACCAAGCAAAUUAUGCAUUCAAACAGAUUAUUAUUAGGAUUUAGGAGUGCUAAUACAGGAGCUAGAAGACAAAUUUGUGAGUGGAUUUUAGUAAUCAAAGAUGAGACAUAAUACAAGUUUGAUAUCAGUAGUAGGCACUACUCUCUAUACAGG
rnacentral:lncRNA from 1 species